rnacentral:lncRNA from 1 species
CCUUCUUUAAUCUUCAUGAGCCCUCUUGGAUCUCUUCUAAGUGAACUUUCCUUUCUUUCCUGUUCUAAGGCCUUUUAAGUAAACUUCCACUCCUGCUCUAAAAUGUGCCUAGGUCUCUUGUUCUGCUUUAUGCCCCUCAGUCUAGUUGUUUCUUCUGAGGAGGCAAGAUUUAAAGUUGCGGCCGACCUGUGCGGAUUUGCUACUGGUAACUCCUGGUAACUCCGGUCUCUUCCACCACUAACAAAAUGAGGUCCUUGAGGUGGGCUCUAAUUCAGUAUGACCGGUAUCCUUACAAAGAGGAGAUGAGGACCUAGGCACACUCAGAGGAAAGAUCGCUUGAAGACACAAGGAGAAGAUGACACUGUACAAGCUAAGGAAAGAGGCCUCAGAAGAAACCAACCCUGCUGACACCUGGGUCCUGGACUUCUAUCCCACAGAACUGCAGAGGGGUUCUCUCCCCUUGGCUACCAUAGCUGGGAAUAUUCUGGGUCACACAUGAAGCCAGCAUGGCUCUGAAUCUUACCCAAGGGACACAACAGAGUCUCGCUCUGUUGCCAGGCUGGAGUGCAAUGGUGAGAUCUCAGCUCACUUCACCCUCCGUCUCCCAGGUUCAAGCAAUUCUCCUGCCUCAGCCUCCCGAGUAGCUGGGACUACAGGUACGUGCCACCACGCCAGGCUUAUUUUCGUAAUUUUAGUAGAGACAGGGGUUUCACCAUUUUGGCCAGGCUGGUCUUGAACUCCUGACCUCAAGUGAUCCGCCCACCUUGGCCUCCCAAAGGGCCAGGGUCACAAGCGUGAGCCACCGUGCCUGGCCUGAAAUCUUUAGUAUUGUUCUAAAUGGUUGAAUAAGCUAAGCCUAGAGCACAAUACACAUCUUCUCCCUUCUCCUGGGCUCACUUUCCUAGAGGGUUGUUUCUUUGUUUCAUUUUGUUGCAUUUUAAAAUAAGUUAAACAUUUAAGACUUAAAAAAAAAAUUUGGUUGUUGUCAUAGAAAAUAGUCAACAGAUGGUCAAUAGGUGGUCACAAAAAUAUGAGCUAUUCCUUGCCAAGAUUUCUCUUUGGAGUUGUGUGACGCACCUAGAGGACCACUCUUGGGGGUCUGGUGUGCUGGUCUUUAUAGGAAGGGGUUGGUGCCACCUGUUGGCCAUGGCCAGCAUGAAGCAAGUCAGCACUGUCUUGGUCAGCCCAGAGCAAGGAUGUUCUUGUCUAACCCUUCAAGAUAGCUCUUUAAUUUGAACAUUCUUAGUAAUGCCUUAUGAAAAAGUUAUUUUUAUUUUAAACAUAUACAUUUUUAAAAACUGACUUGGUCUGUAUUUUUUUUACUUUAUCCUGUAUCCAAAAGACUUUCUGUGAGAGUAUGUAUCACUCAAAGUAUAAUGUAGACCAAGGCAACAUUAUGAUUUGAUUUACCAAAUAGGGGUUUUGCAUGACCUUUUAAAGAAAUACUCAGCAUAAAAUGUAUUUUGUAUCUUUAAGAUAUUAGGCUUACUUUAUUAACACUGAAUCACACAUGUUGACAGUUGUGGAAAUUGAUCUAAAAAACUGUAUUUUAAAAUUACUAUCUGGUUGAUCAUUCUUUUUGCUAUUUUUGUUGCCUCAAGUUCAUUCAGAUUUUUCUGUUUGUUAAUUUUCAUGCUCUUGUUUAAGCACAAUAAUUUUUGAAAAUCAUGUUGCUGAUUCCAUGAAGAAACGAGUGUUUAGUUUAAAAUAUCAUGAGGGAAGUUUUAUGGUCUAAAAUAUCUUAGACUAGAUAAAGAAAAACUGGAUUCCUUAAUGUAACUUAAAUUCAUUGUUUAAUGGCUGCAAUAAAUCCUGGUGCAUUUUUUCCCUCUGCAAAAGAAGAAAAAUAAUCAUUUAAUAGUUAACAAAAUUUCUCAAUUUACAGUUGAGGUUAAAAGUAUUCAUUUUGAUGUUUUUGAAACAUCAACCACUUUAUCAUACAAAAUAGCUGUGAAGAAACUUUUUCAGCACUAAUUCACUUAAUAAGAAAUAUCAGAACUUUCAACUUAGCAACUUUUAAGUAAAAAUGCAUAAUGAUUUUUUUGUAUUGUUUCACACAAAACCAAAUGCAUAAACUAGCUAGCUUUUUCAGCUUUACAUGUUUAAAGCUCAUUUUUUGUGUGUGUGGGAAAACCAGCUUUUUAAGUUGAAGUUAUAUGAGAGGAUGAAGUAAGUGCAUGAAUAAAGACAAUGUUAUAAAAAUGUAUUUUACUUUUUCAAAGUCUUUGAUAGGUUUCUACACAGAAGACUGCAAUGCAUAAUAAUGUAUCACAUGAUUGAGAAAAAAGAAAACAUUUUCCCUAUUUUUAGAACUAGCCUGUAAAUUAAAAUAAACAGACCAGAAUAAAUAAGGAUGAUUUGGAAAGAGAGAGAGAGAGACAUAAAUAGCGAUGUGUCAUCUUUUGUCAUAUGUAUUGGAAAAGGGAGUACAGGAAAUGGUUUAGUUGAUCCAUGUUCUUCUCAGUACCUAAAUGCAGGGCUAACAAGGGUGAUCAUCUGCAGGACAAAAUGAGGGUUAGUGUGAACGAGUGGACAGGUUUGCAUUGCAUUCUAAACAAUGCUUACAGGAUAAUGGACUCUGAGCUAUCGGUAAUGACCCAGGAAAGACAUCAUGUAAAUAGAAGUCUGGGCAAGAAAGGCUUUUAAAUAAUAAAUAACAAUGAGGAUUAUGUUAGAGUUCUUUUGUUUGAAUAAGAUUUAUUAUGUAGUGAGGAAACGGAAUUUUUGCACUUUAAGUUUGGGUAAUGUAAAGGGGGAGAUGUUAACAGUAUACAGGCUUCCAAUAAUUAGAUUAAUUUUAGGGAUAUUCUAGAGAUCUCUUGUUGUUUCUCAUUUCUCUGUCAUAUUCUAUUUAUACAUCUAUUAUCUGUCUACCUAUCUCUAUCUACCCAUCUCUUUUGCUUAUUGAAAAUUGUAUAGAAUCUAUCAUGUAAGUUCAGAAAAUAAUUUUUAAAGUAUUCAGUAUUGAAUUAUUUAAACUUAGAGCAUGGUCCCAAACCCCAGGCUGGAGAUCCGUACUGGUCCAUUGCCUGUCAGGAAAAGGGCCUCACAGCAGGAGGUGAGCGUUACCUCCUGAGCUCCGCCUCCUGGCAGAUAAGCAGCGGCGUUAGAUUCUGAUAGGAACAGGAGCCCUGUUGUGAACUGCGCAUGUCAGAAAUCUAGGUUGCCUGCUCCAUAUGAGACUGUAAAGCCUGGUGAUCUGAGAUGGAACAGUAUCAUCCCCAAACCAUCUCUCCCCACCCUCCACCCUCACUUAGAGGACUGUAUUUUGGAAUCGAAGUCAUAUUUGACAUAUAAUAGUGCCUGGAUACUCAACCCUAUGAGAUAGGUCAGAUACUACUAUUUCCUUACAAACAAGGAAAUACGAAUUGUAAAAUGCCUACAACUCCUUGAAAUAAUUGGUGUGAGGAAGUGUAAUCAUUCCCCUAAAACAUGACCACUGUUUUUUCAACAUUUUAUUUUCUUCUAAUAAUUAAUCCUAUAGUUGGGCAACAAUUUGGUUGGCCUUGAGUUUAUCAAUCAGCCUUAAAAUUGUUUAGUUUACGUAUUUACUCAUUCAAUCCGUCGUUUAUUCAAAAGAACACAGUACAGUCAAAAAUGUGAGCGGUGAUAAAGUGGCAGAUAUUAGCAGACAACUUAGUUGUUUUCUUUAAGGGACUGACAGUUGUUUCAAAGAUUCUAACAUCUUAUGGAAAUGAUGCUUUUUAUUAUUUGAAUGUGCUAAUAUAAAUAACUUUAAAAUAAUCAAAAUCAUAUUGUAAUACAAUGUUUUGUAGGUCUGGAGUGAGUCUACUGAAGUUCAAAUCUCAGUUCUCCCACCGUCUUGUUGUCUACUCCUAGUCAAGUAAUUUGUCCCUCAGUGACUUUACCUUUAAGAGAAAGUGAUAAUAAAAAUACCUACCUCAUAAGAUUAUUGAGAGGAUCAAAUUGGUUAAUUCAUGUUAAGAGCCUAGAAGAGUGCCUGGCAAAUAGUUAGAAUUUGAUAAUCAUCUCAUAGUAUUACAUGUACAUGAAUCACUCUUUUAUAUGCUACCCCACUUGUCCCUAAUACUGGUCAUAUCACAUGUUAAUCUAUACUUUACAUAUAUAUACUUUAAAGUUUAAAUUGUACAUGUAUAAUCUGGAGAAAACACCUAUUCACAACUGUGUCAUAUGUCCUUAUUGAAUUAGUAGACUUCUUUCCACAUAAACUAAACUUUCUGUGAUCUCCAUAGGCAGCUUUUGGAGAUGUGAUAAGAGGAUGAGUUGCAAUGAAGUGUAUCCAUUAGUUAAGUUUGCUUUAUUUCGAGAAUGAUAUGAAACUCACAUGGUCGUAGUUUAUCUCCUCCUGAUCAACACAUCUAAUUAAUACUUGUGUAUGUGAUUAAGAAAAAUGAAAAAAGUAAAUAUACAUUAAAGUUGAGUCUGUCAUCUAAAAGUUUCAAGUGUAUAGGCAAAACAAAUAUUAAAUGUGGAUGCUGUAUUUUGGGAAACUUAUCUAUUACUUUCCUUAUAGUUGCCAAGGAGGUAAAUACAUAGAAAUCAUUGGAGAUUUAAGUCUCCCUUAAAUAAAGCCUCAGGAGAAUAUAUUAAGCAAAAUGACCUAUUGCUUAUUAAUAUUUACUCAAUUGCUUUGCUGCUUUGAGUUUAUUGGUUUGAAUUCCAGGCUUAUCAUUUACUCAUCUUUCAAUGGAACUACUGAAGUGGCCUCCCCUAACGGGUCUCCUAGCUUCCCCUAGUGACUUUUAUAGUCCAUUAUCCACAAGGAAGUUAUAGUGACUUAUUUUUACCCCUUAAAUAGACAAUACCAAACCCUGCAGAAGAACAUACCCAUUCCUUCCUAUUGCACUUAGAGCCUUAAAUGUGAAUGAUCUAAAAAAUUACCACAAACUAGGCGGCUUAAAACAACAGAAAUGCAUUCUCUAACAGUUCCGGAGGCCAGAAGUUCAAAAUCCAGGUGUUGGCAGAGCCAUUUUCUUUCCAGAUAGUCUAGAGCAUAAUGUCUUCCUUGCCUUCUCUGGUUUCUGGUAACUACCAACACUCCUUGGUUUGAGGCCGCAUCUCUCCAGUUGUCAAUUUCAUCAUCAUUAAAUGUCUCUUGUUCCAUCCUCACAUUGCCAUAUUUUAUGUUUCUGAUGUUCCUCUACCUCUCUCUUACAAACACACUUGUGAUGACAUUUAGGAUUAAUCUUCUUUAGGGUUAAUCCAGGGUUAAUAUCUCAUCUCAUGACCCUCAACUUAAUCACAUUCACAGGCUCCAGAGAUUAAGAUCUGAUAUCUUUGGGACUCACCAGUCAAUCCACUACACCUGGCUUCUUCCACCCACCCAACUCCAGCUCAUCUUAUGCCAGUUUCACUCAUCAUCAUAGCCACAUUGGAUGUCUUUCAGUAUCUGUAAAAAUGCUGGAGUUUCUCUCACCUCAAGUGGCCUCAUUGAUGCUAUCCCAUCACCAGGGCUUAUUCUUUCACUCCCUGGUUCCUGGUUAAGGUCUGCUUAGUCCUAGGACACAUGGUAAACCUUACCUUCCUGUAGAUAUUGUCUUGUGUGUCACAGUUUAAAUAGAUCCUGUUAUGCCCCUUCACAGAAUCCUGUUAUUUUUGUUCAUAUCACUUAUAAUAGUGUUUAACUAGGAAAUCAUUUCUGUCAUUAUGUAAUAAUUUCUGUAUUCUCCAUGAUAGUAGAUGCUUCAUGAGGACAAAAGAGAUGUCUCUUUUGCUCACAAAUGUAGGCCUACCAUCAUUUACAGUGUGUGUAACUCAACAAAUAUCUCUUUUUAAAUUCAGACAAUCUCUGUAAUAAUUAUGCAUUUAUUUGACAAAUAUAAAUAUAAAUGUUCCAGACACAGUUCUAGUACAUAAUUAUAUUUUGUUCUAUUUAACAAGUAGUACACUCUUUAAUUUACUUUAACUUUUUAUAUAACAAAAAUGCUUUAGUGACAAUUAUAAAGUUUUAAAAUGACAUUUUAAUGUAUAUUAUUUUGGAGUCUGAUUUUCAAAAUAUGCAUAUGUAAAGUAAUUUAGCUAGGCCACCAUAUCUAGGCCAAAAAAUGGCCUUUCACCUAAAUUCUUCAUCUUGAAUUUUUUAUUAAAAAUAAAUUCAUUUAUCUUGCUCUUACAUUUUAUUUCAAAUCAGCAGGCUGAGCAAAGUGUUCAAGAUAAUAUUUGAAAUGUAUCAAUAAAAAUAAUACAUUUAUAAACUAUAAAUUGUAUUUAUUACAAAUUAAUAAAAAAGUACCAAAUAUGAUUCACACUAGUUUUUUCUUUUUAAAACUUUUAUUUUUAUUACCAGAGACAUUCUAAUAUACUAUCUAAAAUCUUUGAUCAGCAAAGUGCAGCUUGUAGUUGUGAUGAGCAUCUUAAAGUUAAUUCAUUAGCUUAUACCUUUAACUUACUCUUUAACGUAUGUGUAUAAUAAUAGUCUGGAAAAAAUAAACUUUAUAAAAAUCAAAGCCACCACAAUAGCUAAUGAAAUUCCAGAGUGAUAACUAAUCUGCUCAGUAAUGGUGAUCAUUGGAACCAUAAGUAUACUCAUUUGAAACAUACUCAUAAGUUCUUGUAUUGUUCCCUUUUGAAGAGUGAAAAUAUUUAAAUAUAAUUUAUCCUUAGAUUUUUAAUACAAAAUAAAAUUGAAACACAUUUUUUCCUGUAUCUAAUGAUGCAAUUACCUGUUAGGAGAUAAAAUUCUCUACGCGACCUGAGCAUUAUUUUGUGUUCUUGUUCGGCAUGUCAAGAAUGCAAGGCUCCGAGAGCUUCUUACUUGGGCCAUUUACCAGGAUCACAUUUGCAGUGAGAAUCCUUGAGGGAUGAAGUAACCUUUCUUGGACAAAGAGUAAGCUUGCUUCUGUUAACUAUAAAUCCCCUAGCUCAGUGUUCCCUUCUGUACUCAUGGAAUAACAGAAUGGCUUAUGAGCUUUAAGGGGGUAAAAUUCCAGGCCCUUCACAGUUUUUGACAUCACCCUAAAACCCUUUUGUGAAACAGAGCACUGAUGAGCAACUGGCAAACAACAGAUUCUCACUAUUUAUUUUCAGCCACUAAACAAAUAUUUUGAACAGUAGCAUUGCCUACAACAUCAUCCACUUUAAAUUAAAAUUCUAACUUUAUUGCUUCUACUGUUGGGAGCAGGCCCCCCAAAAUCUGGCCAUAAACUGGCCCCAAACCUGGCCAUAAACAAAAUCUCUGCAGCACUGUAACAUGUUCAUAAUGGCCCUAAGGCCCACGCUGGAAGGUUGUGGGUUUACCAGAAUGAGGACAAGGAACACCUGGCCCGCCCAGGGUGGAAAACUGCUUAAAGGCAUUCUUAAGCCACAAACAAUAGCAUGAGCUAUCUGUGCCUUAAGGACGUGCUCCUGCUGCAGUUAACUAGCCCAACCUAUUCCUUUAAUUCAGCCCAUCCCUUCAUUUCCCAUAAGGGAUACUUUUAGUUAAUUUAAUAUCUAUAGAAACAAUGCUAAUGACUGGUUUGCUCUUGAUAAAUACAUGGGUAAAUCUCCGUUCGGGGUUCUCAGCUCUGAAGGCUGUGAGACCCCUGAUUUCCCACUUCACACCUCUAUAUUUGUGUGUGUGUGUCUUUAAUUCCUCUAGCACCGCUGGGUUAGGGUCUCCCAGACCGAGCUGGUCUUGGCAUCUACUUAAAACUCUUGACUUCUCAGUGAUUCUUACUGAAAUCUAAACCCCUUUUGAUUUACUUUAGAUUAUUGAGGUUUAGAAAUACUCAAUACUACACAUUACUUAAGUGGAACUCUUCUGUAUGCUUUCCAGACCUCAUCCUAUUUUGCUCUUUUCUUCCUUUUCUAUCGUCAUCUCCCUGCUGGGAUGUCAUCCUCACUUUCCUCUUUGGUGAAUUACUUCAUAUCCUUUAAAAACUUCGGUUCAUUCUUACUGAAAAAACUCCCUGACUCGCAUGGACAUUCUUCUUUCUCCAGCCCAUUCUCCAGCUUUCACAUGUAUUUUAUUUUCUGAAAAUAUAUUAUCAAAAGCAUAAUCAUUUCUUCAGCAGUUCAGGUACUUGAAAAGUCGCUGAGGUUUGUCAUCCUCUCUUCUUCACUGUGGACUCACUUCAAAUAUAACUAUCAAGGCCAGCCUCUUAGUGACUUGCAACUGCAGAUUUUCUCUUACUCCCAAUAUAUGGGAGCUGAGGAUUGACUAUAGCAGCUGUGUUUAUGUCUCUGUCAUUCUAGGACGCAGGUCAAAGAAGCAACCCCAGCCUGGGACUUGCUUAUCUUGUGGAAGAGAAAAAGAACAGGAAAUCGAAAAGAUAAUUCCUCAAGCUUUAUUGGGAACUGAUUCAUUGUGCCUUCUGCCCACACUGGUCAAAACACAUAUAUGAACAAAUCUGACAUCAGUGGAGCUGAGAAAUAUGCAUUCUACAGAAAGUUGCCCCAAGUCAAAAAAAAAGUGAGAGGUUGUCAUUCUACAGGAAGGUGGUAGCAAAGUCAAUUACAGUCUAUUAAGAACAAUAGCAUCCCUCUUUCCUUUGUUUGAAGAGAAAUUAAGUCUAUGUGUGACUGUUUUGCUGAGGUGCAGCCCAUUACAGCCUAUGUUCAGAUAGGUACGAGGUUCCAGUGGCUUUAAGUUUCCCGUUAAUUUACUUCAGCCCCCAGGAACUUUUUUUUUUUUGACUCCAUCUUCAAACCUGGCAGUCUGAUAUUGUUUCAUGGAUUUCUAUUCCCUGUAUCUACUAAGACUUUCUGUAGAAGAUGAUACACUCACUCCAUCUGCCUUCUCUUUGUAGUUUUUACCACAAUAAGAAGACAAGCCUGUCUCUUUUUCCCUGCUAAACAUAAGAGGAAAGAGUCAGAGACGUUACAACAAUGGACAACCUUGGAAAAUAGCUAACGCUAAAUGAGCCACAUUUUCCCUUUGGUAGCAGCUAUCUAGAAGUGUUCAAGCUAUCUUUCAGAAUAACAGAUGCCCUAAUCUCUUCUUCUCACCCCACCUAUCUUCCUUCCAAAUGUUUUUUCUAAGACAUUAGGCAGAGUUGAAUUUACCACAAAGCUAAUAAAACAUGAAUUUUAUGACCCUCACUUGCAUGGGCUCCUUCCUAGGCCCUGGGAAAGACUGUAGCAAUAUAUUCAGAUGGUCAUAUUGCUAUGGUCUGAACUGUGCCACCCAAAAGUUCACGUUGAAGUCUUAACUCCAGUGCAACUGUAUUUGGAAAUAGGGUCUAUAAGCAGAUAAUUAAGGUUAAACAAGGUCAUAAUGGUGGGGUCCUGUGGAUAGGAUUAAUGCCCAAGUAAAAAGAAUAAGAGACAGGGAAUCUGCCCCCAACGCCCCACCCUACCACCAAAUGAAGUUAAAGCAAGAAGGCAGUUGUCUGCAAGCCAGGAAGAGAGCCCUUAACAGAAACUGACCAAGCUGGCACACUGACCUCAAUCUCAGAUUUCCAGCCUCCAGAACUGUGAGAAACAAAUUUCUUUUGUUUAAGCCACCCAGUCUACAAUACUUUAUUAUGGCAGCCCAGACUGAUUAAGAUGUGUUCUGCAGAUGUUGAGGUAUUUUAACUGCAUUUAAAAAUAAAUACAACUUUCUUAUUCUACUCCAGCUGCCUUUCCAUCAUAUUCUUUCUUGUGUCUGAUGAUGUUGAGGUAGCUAUGAUCAUUUUGAGGGCAUUACUGAAAGGAGACUGAGCUGGGGAUGGAUGUAGUUUGGUUUUGUUGUAGUGAGAUACUAAAGUAUAUAACACAUGUUAAAAUCAGUUCCAUGUCUAAUGAAUUUUUGACUACAGGAAAUUAGCUACAUAGAAAAGCCAUUGUGUGGUUCUCCCAGAAGAAGAGAUAUAGAUUUAGAUUUAGAAAUAAACAUGCUCUGUGUUACCCAGGCAUUAAAUAUGUGAUCAGUGAAACAGAAACAAGGUUUGAAACGUGUAGAGCCAGAGCUUUUCUAUAAAAAAUUCUUCCUUUCAUCCAGUUUAUAAAAUGUGUAACUUCUCACAGUUUAUAAAAUAGUAGAUGGCGGAUGUAUUAGUCCAUUCUUAUGUUGCUGUGAAGAAAUACCAAAGACUGGGUAACUUAUAAAGACAGAGGUUUAGUUGACUUACAGUCCCACAUGGCUGGGGAAGCCUCAGGAAACUUAUAAUCAUGGCAGCAGGCACAUCUUCACAGGGCAGCAGGAGAGAGAAUGAGUGCCAACAGGGAAAAUGCCAGGCGCUUAUAAAACCAUCAAAUCUCGUGAGAACUCACUCACUAUCAUGAGAACAGCGUGGGGGAAAACACCCCAUUGAUUCAAUUACCUCCCACCAGGUCCCUCCCAUGACAUGUGGGGAUUAUGGGAAUUAUAAUUGAAGAUGAGAUGUGGGUGGGGACACAGCCAAUCCAUAUCAGAGGAUUUGGUUUGCAUUAAUUUCUAGUCUAAGUGGAAGCUCUGCCCUAGUCAAAAUACACUCAGUAAUACAGUAUACAAUUAUAAGGAGCCAGUAGUUGUGGCUGGUACCUGUAGUCCCAGCUACUUUAGAGGUGGAGGUGGCAGAAUCGAUCGAGCUCAGGAUCCAGGCUGCAGUGAGCUAUGAUUACCCCCUUGUACUCCAGCCUGAUAGAUAUAGAAAGACUCUGACUCAUAACAAUAAUAAAUAUUAAUUAUAACAUUCUAAUUUCUGUUUGGUAGGAAUCACAUAAAAUAGAAUUUAUCAAAAUUCCUGGAAUGUAGAAAAACAAAACCGUAAUAACACUACUAUAAACAUUGCAUAUAUCUGUGUGAGAAGUCAUACAUUUAGUGAAUCCCAACUAUCCUUAAUUUUUAAAAAAUAAAAUUGUGAUAGAGGAAAGAGCAAAUUAUUGCUAUAUUCUCUAAACAGAAAAAAACAAAAAUUGUUAUAUGAAGAGACAGAGUAGAAAAAUUUUUGGAGAAAGUAUUAUAAAAGAAUGUCAGGUUCUAAUAUAAAUACAUUUUCUGGAUUUGGGGACAUUUGUGUAAUUUAAUAUAUAUAAACUAUAAUUUUGAUUAGCCUCUAAUUUAAAUAAAUAUUUAUACUUUCACAUUUAUUUUUGUAUUUUUAUUUUUUAUAUAAUUUUCCUUAAAGAGCUCCCCUAUUGUAUAAGUGUGAGGCUCCACAAAACCUGGAUCCAUCCCUAGGUAUAGGUCUUUUUCAACCAUAGGCUUGCAAAAUUGAGGAAGUAUAAGAGUACAAACCAGUAGAUCAGAGGUCCCAAACACACAUGGCCAGUUGUGGUAGGAGCUACAAAGAACUGUAGAAAAUAAGUGAGCACAAUAUGACCUGUACCUGUGAGGCAGCAGGUACUGAUUACUGACAGAGUGCUGUCAAUCCAAAAAGACACAAGUGGGUGUGCCACCUGUCCCAGUAGGUAAUUUCUCUACCAGGAGACUUCAGAAUACUUCCUCAGAAAUAGCCUACUACUGGCAGAGCUCCAAUCUCAAGAAAGAACACAUCGAAGCACAUUUAUUCAUGGAACUCAAAGGAUUCUAUCUGGAGGCCAGUGAAUUUGAGAAGUUAUAUAACACAGUGGUAAAAGCAUGGACUCUGCUGCUUGACUGUUGGAUUUGAAUUCACCCAGUCCCAUUACUUACUAGGUGUGUAACCUUGGGCAAAUAAUUAAAUCUCUCUGUGUUCAAUUUCUUCACCUCUUAAAAGGUGGUAAUGAUAAUAUCCAACUUCAUACUUUGAGGAUGAAGCAAAUUAGAGCUAAGUGAUUAGACCAAGUGUGUCACAUCAUGAGUAUUACAAAAAUGUUACCUGUUUUUUCUCCUCUUUGGUCAAUGUUUAGCCAUUUUAGAGUAAGUAUUAAAUUCAUACUACACUUGAUUUUAGCCAAUAGGCAAGAAGUGCUAAGUAUUAAUUGAUUUCAUGUUGACUGUACCUUGGUCCAUACAUUUAAUUCAGUGCGUAUACAAUUUCUGAUGAAAAGAUGGCCUUCAUCUUAAAAGGCAAUGCUGUGCCAUGGUGUUUUUAUCAGACACUGAGUUCUUGAAAGUCUGUAAAAUACUAGAAGCUAACUGACAUUCCUGGAGAUUCUUACUCACUAGUAUCUAGAGUGCUGAUUAGGAGUAGAUUUAAAAAAAAAGAUCCUCUGAUAUUCUAUUGUGUCUACUAAAUUUGCAGCUGUUCUAUUUCUAAAUGUCCUGUAGAAGCAUCUCUCACAGCAAGAUCAAGCUCAUAUACCAAGGGCUAGAUCCAGUUAUUUUUUUAUCUCUCCUUAAAAUAAGAGUCUGUGUGUUUUUUCAGUUUAAUUUUGCAGGUCUCUGAUAAAAUAAAUUACUUUCAGAAAACUAAAACAAGGAAAAAGAAAAAAACCCUUGCCUCCCAAAACCUCAGGCUCCUUCAUAUGGAGGGAGAUUCCAAUCAAGGAACUUUGAACAAGUCUCACAGUUAAAUCUUGGGAAACUUCUCCAUCCUUUCUUUUAAUAGCCAUCAGAUGGCAAAUGCUGAGCUUCUCCAAAAACCUGAAGAAAACUUCUUUUCAUCCAGGAUUCCCAAAGUUUCCCUAUUCUUGAGAAGACCCCACACUUUGGGAAAUGAUCCAGGCUUUUGCAUGUGAUCAUGUCUCGAUUGAAAGUGUCAUCCAUCCCAAGGUACCAAGCACUGAAAAUAGAGUGGACUGCAGAGAUGAAAGCCACCAUUCUAGUCUGCAAGUUGUUAAUGGUUUAGUAACAAAAUAAGCCCAUUUUGAACCAGCAAACCCUCUAACAGGGGUAGUCAGACACCCUAUACUGGCAUCAGGUUUGUUCCCCUUGAGGUCAGAGAUCUCAGAAAAAGAAGCAGGCACCCAUCUUUGCUGUUCUGCAGCCUCCCUGAGUGACAUCUCCAGGCGCAGGAGUGAACCAGAUGAAUAGGGCCUGAAGUGAACUAGCAAACCACAGCAGCCCUACAGAAGAGGGGCCUGACGAUUGAAAGAAAAACAAACAGAACGCAACAACAACAGCAUCAUCAACAACAAUAAAGACCCCACAAAAACCCCAUCCAAGGGUUAGCACCCUCAACGUGAGUAAAUAAAUUGUAUGUGAACAAAUUACUAAGUCUUUCAAUGUCUCCACUUCCUUAUUUUAUAGUCAGGCCAAUAGCAAAAUGAAUCUCAUAUAACCUCAGGUGGAAACAUUAAGGUGAUAAAUGGAAGGGACUUUAGCACAGUGUCCUGUUUACAGUCAUCUUGAAACAAAAUUGCUAACUUUUGUUAUGGGUUGGUAUUCUAACAUUAACCAUGGAGAUGUACCUCAUUUAGCUAUUAGUGUUCACUUCUACACUAUAGCACUUAAAAUUAGAAUAAUUAAAACAUCUUCUGAUAACUCUUUUUUCACAUCACAAACUUUGUUGGCACAAUAGAAAUCUUUGUGCUUCAGUGAAAUACCAUCUCACAUGGUUCAGAAGGUCUACUAUUAAACAGUCAAAGAGAAUACAUGCUGGAAAGGCUGCUGAGAAAAGGGAACACUUAUACACUGUUGAUGGGAAUGUGAAUUAGCUCACCCUCUGUGGAAAGCAGGUUGGAGAUUUCUCAAAUAACUUGAAACAGAUCUACCGUUCAACCCAGCAAUGCCUUUAGUGGUUAUGUACCCAGAAGAAAAUAAAUCAUUCUACCAAAAAGACAUAUGCUGUCAUAUUUUCAUCACAGCACUAUUCUCAGUAACAAAGACAUGGAAUAAACCUAGGUGCCCAUCAGUGGUGAGUUGCAUAAAGAAAAUGUGGUACAUAUACACCAUGGAAUAUUAUACACCCAUACAAAGAACAAAAUCUUGUCCUUUGCAGCAACAUGAAUGCAGCUGGAGGCCAUUACCCCAAGCGAAUUAACUCAGGAACAGAAAACCAAAUGCGGCAUGUUCUCACAAGUAGGAGCUAAACAUUCAAUACACAUGGGCAAAGAGGAGAACAAUAACAGUGGAGACAACAAGAAGAGGAAGAGUGGGAGGGGAACAAAAACUGAAAAACAACUGGUUGGGUACUAUGUUACUUGAGUGGCAGGAUCAUUUGUACCCCAAAUCUCAGCAUCAUGCACUAUACCUAUGUAACAAAUUUGCACAUGCGCAUCCUGAAUCUAAUAUAAAAGUUGAAAUUUAAAAAUAAAUUUUUAUGCUAAGCAUUUCACUUCAUUAUGGCUUAAGUAAAUUAGGAGGCAAGGCCAAGAUGGUCAAUCAGAAACAGCUACUUUUGGAGGCUCACAUUGAAAAGAACCAUAAUAAGAAUGUGAAUCCUUCACCAGGAACCAAGGUGUCCAGAUUCUCUCAUCAGAACUGACUAGGAGGCUGGUGAGAUCAUUGGAGAUGAAGGAAGAACAGUGCUGUGUGGCAGCCCACCUGAAAGCCACACAGGGCAGGGGAGCCUUCUCCCCCGAGCCAAGGGAGGCAGUGAGUAAGCAUGCUACCCAGCUGGAGAAAUCAUGCUUUUUCCACGGAACUGUACAACCCACGGAUCGGAAGAUCCCACUCACUAACCUGUGCCAAUGGGGCCUAGCAUCCCAACCCCAGAGCCUUGCAGAUUCUCAACAGCCUCUCAGCUGGAAUCUGCUUAAGCCUACCAAGCUCCCGGGAGGAGGAGUGACCACCACCUACUGUGACUGCCUGCUGUCUAAGCCCUUUGAGCUCCUUGUGGGAGGGGCAGCAGCCAGCACUGGGACUCAAAACUGCCUAACACUCUAAGCUCCUUGGAUAGGGGAAAGGUGGCAUCCAUAUCUAUAGAUCCAAGCUCCACUUUUCCCCUGCUGGAGCCAGGGAGGCUGGACGUCCUGGUUCCAACAGGUGUCCCCCAUAGCCCAACACACCCGCUGUGGCCCACUGCAACCAGAGUGACUCUUCAGGACUGAUCCUGACCCAUCCUUCCUCAUUGGGCGGGGCUUCCCUGCAGGAACUCCGAUAAUUCCAGCCAGAGGUUCAGGGGCAGAACCUGGAUCUCCUUGGCCCUGAACCUCUAGGGGGAAGCAUGGCCACAGCCUCUGCAGACCAGCAGACUUAGCCUUUCCCCAUGGUAGUUCUGAGGAAUCUGGGCAGCUCAGACAAGUGGAAGCACACCCCUUCCACCAAGGAACAGACAAAGCGCUUCCUUAAACGGGUCCUGUUCCCUGUGCCACCCAACUGGGUGAAACCCUCUAACGAGUGGUCAGACACCUAUACAGGAGUGAUCCUACUGGCAUCAGGUUUGUUCCCCUUGAGGUCAGAGAUCUCAGAGGAAGGAGCAGGCACCCAUCUUUGCUGUUCUCCAGCCUCCCUGAGUGACAUCUCCAGGCGCGGGAGUGAACCAGAUGAAUGGGGCCUGCAGUGAACUAGCAAACCACAGCAGCCCUUCAGAAGAGGGACCUGACCAUUGAAAGAAAAACAAACAGAAAGCAACAACAACAGCAUCAUCAACAACAAUAAAGCCCACACAAAAACCCCAUCCAAGGGUUAGCAUCCUCAAAGUCAAAACUAGACAAACUCACGAACAUGAGAAAGAGUCAACUAAAAUAACACUGAAAACCCCAAAAGCCGGAGUGCCUCUUCUCCAGCGUCUCUCCAGCAAGGGCACAGAACUGGAUGGAGGAUGAGGCAGAUGAAUUGAUGGAAGUAGGUUUCAGAAGACGGGUAAUAAAAACUACACUGAGCUAAAAGAGAAUAUUCUAACCAAAUGCAAAGAAGCUAAGAACCUUGAUAAGAGGUUGCAGGAGGUGCCAACUAGAAUAAUCAGUUUAGAGAGGAACAUAAAUGACCUGAUGGAGCUGAAAAACACAGUGUGAGAACUCUGUGAAGCAUACACAAAUAUCAAUAGCUGAAUCAACCAAGUGGAAGAAGGGCUAUCAGAGUCUGAACACCAGCUUGCUGAAAUAAGGCAUGCAGACAAGACUAGAUAAAAAAUAAUAAAAAGGUACGAACAAACCCUCCAAGAAAUAUGGGACUUCAUAAAAAGACCAAACCUACAAUUGACUGGAGUAACUGAAGGAGACAGGGAGAAUGGAAACAAGCUGGAAAACACACUUCAGGAUAUUAUCCAGGAGAACUACCAAAUGGUCUAUUGACCAUUUUUAUGUUUUAAGAAAUGUCUAUUCAUGUCUUUUGCCCACUUUUUUAUUUGUUUACUCUUGAGUUGUUUAAGUUUUUUGUAUAUUCUGGAUACUAGACCCUUGUUGGUUGAAUACUUUGCAAAUAUUUAUUUCAUUCAACAGGUUGUCUACUCCCACUGUUUAUGGUUUCCUUUGCUGUGCAGAAUUUGUUUUAGUUUAACAUAGUCCCAUUUGUCACUUUUUGUUUUUGUAGCAUGUGCUUUUGAGGUCUUAACUAAAAAUCCUUGCCUACCCCAAUGUCAUGAAGUGUUUCUUUCGUGUUUUCUUCUAGUUGUUUUAUAUUUUUAAGUCUGAAGUUAAGUAUUUUAUAUAUCUUAAUUUUUUUUUUUUUAUUUACGGAGUCUUGAUUUAUUGUCGAGGUUGGAGUGCAGUGGUGCAAUCUCGGCUCACUGCAACCUCCGCCUCCUGGGUUUAAGAGAUUUUUCUGCUUCAGCCUCCCUAGUAGCUGGGACUACAGGCAGGCACCACCAUGUCCGGCUAAUUUUUUUGUAUUUUUAGCAGAGACAGGGUUUCACCAUGUUGUUCAGGCUGGUCUUGAACUCCUGACCUCAUGAUCUGCCCACCUUGGCCUCCCAAAGUGCUGGGAUUACAGGCGUGAGCCACCGUGCCCAGCUUAUCUUGAGAUUUUAUAACAUGAUAAGAGCUAGGGUUCCAGUUUCAUUCUUCUGCAAGUGGAUAUCAAAUUUUUAGCACCAUUAUUGAGGAGACUGUCCUUUCCCAAUGUAUGUUGCUAGUGCCUUUGUCAAAAUCAGUUGGCUGUAAAUACAUGAAUUUAUUUCUGUGUUCUCUAUUGUGAUCCACUGGUCUAUGUGUCUGUUUCUAAAGCAAAACCAUGCUAUUUUCAUUACCAUGGCCUUAGAAUAUAUUUUGAUGCAACCAACUUUGCCUUUUCUUGCUCAGGGUUGUUUUAGCUAAGAUCCUUGUUAGUUCCAUAUAUAUUUCAGGCUAUUUUUUCUAUAUCAAUGAAAAAUGGUAUUGUUAUUUUGAUAGGGUUUGCAGUGAAUCUUUUAAUUGCUUUAACCACUAUCAUCAUUCUAACAUUAAUUCUUCUGAUCCAUGUGCAUGGGACAUCUUUCCAUUUGCUUAUGUCCCCUUCGAUUUCUCUCAUCAUUGUUUUGUAGUUUUCCCUGUAGAGAGGUCUUUUAUCUCUUUUGUCUAAUCCAUUUCUAGGUAUCUUUUUUGUAGUUCUUAUAAAUGGUAUUGGUUUUUUGACUUUUUAUCAGCUCAUUCAUUAUGGGUGUUUAAAAAAGCUACUGCUUUUUGCAUGUUGAUUUUAUAUUCCAUAUGUUUAAUGGAUAUUCUGUAUCUGAAUGUAUUUAUUGGACCUAAACAUUUUUGAUGAAGUCUUUUCAUUUUUCUAGAUUUAAAAUCAUGUCUCCUGCAAAGAGGGAUAUUUUGCUUUCCUUUAUACCAGUUUGGAUGCUAUUUCUUUUUUUCUUUUAACUCCUUGCUCUGGCUGGGACUUCUAAAUACAGUGUUGAAUAAAAGUGGUGGCAGCCGGCAUCCUUGUCUUAGUCCAUUUUUGGGGGGAAAGGGUGAUGAAGGUUUGUCACGUAUGUCCUUUAUUAUGUUGAGGUAUGUUUCUUUAAUACCUAGUUUGUUGAGACAUUUUAUCAUAUAGCACUGUGGAAUUGUAUCAAGUACUUUAUUGCAACUAUUGAGAUGAGAAUAAGGGUUUGUCCUUCAUUCUGUUGAUGUGAUGUAUCAUGUUUAUUGAUUUGCUUAUGUGGAAUCAUCCUUACAUCCCUGGGUUAAAUCCCACUUGAUAUGGUGUAUUAUCUUUUUGAUGUGAAGUCGGAUUCGAUUUGCCAGUAUUUUGUUGAAGUUAUUUGCAUCAAUGUCCAUCAAGGAUAUUGGUCUGUAUUAUGUUGUUAUUAUUGUUGUUGCAUCCUUGUCUGGUUUUGGCAUCAGAGAAAUGCUGACCUCAUAGAAUGAAUUAGGGAAAAUUCCCUCCUCUUCGAGUUUCUUGAAUAGUUUGAGAAGAAUUGGUGUUUGUUCAUUUUUGAAAGUCUGAUACACUUUGGCAUUGAAGCCUUUCUCUUCUGGACUUUUCUUUGUUUGGAAAUGGUUACUGCUUCAAUCUCAUUACUCAUUUUUGAUCUCUUCUGACUUUCUAUUUCUUCCUGAUUCAACUUUGAUAGGUUACACAUGUCCAGGAAUUUAUCCAUAUCCUCUAGUUUCUGUUAAGCUUGUAAACAUCUAGUUGUUAAUAGGAGUCUCUGUUUAUCUUUUGUAAGUCUGUGGUAUCACUUGUAAUAUUUUCUUUUUCAUUAAUAAUUUUGUUUAUUUGGGUCUUCUCUCUUCCUUGCUUGGUUAGCCAAGCUGGCAGCAUAUUCAUUCUGUUUAUCUCUCUGUAGAAUUGACUUUUCGUUUCAUUGAUCCUUUAUAUUUUUUUCUUUAGUCUCUAUUUCCUUUAGUUCUGGCCCAAUUUUUAUUAUUUCUUUUCUUCUGAGAAUUUUUGAUUUUUUUCUUGCUUUUCUUGUUCCUUGAGGUAUAUUGUUAGACUGUUUACUUAAAAUUUCUCUAAUAUUUUGAUGUAGGCAUUUAUUGUUAUAAACUUUCCUCUUAGCACUGCUUUUGUUGUAUCCCACGUGUUGUAAUGUGCGUUUGUCUAUAUUUAUUGGUUUCAAAGAAUUGUUUUAAUUUUUAUCUUAUUGUCUUCAUUGACCCAAUAGUUGUUCAGAAGCAUGUAGUUUAAUUUCCAUGCAUUUUUAUAGUUUCCAAAGUUCUUUUUAUUAUUGAUUUCUAGUUUUAUAGUCUGAUGAGAUAAUUUUCAUGAGAUAUGGUUUCAAUUUUUCUUAUUUGAUGAGACUUUUUUUGUGACUCAACAUAUGGUCUAUCCUGGAGAAUGUUUUAUGUGCUGAUGAGAAGAAUGUAUAUUCUGUAGCUGUUGGACAGAAUGUUCUGUAAAUCUCUGUUUGGUUCAUUUGGUCUAAUGUACAGUUCAAAAACAGUGUUUCUUUGCUACUUCUCUGUCUAGAUAAUCUGUCUCAUACUGUAAGUGGGAUGUUGAAGUACCCAACUAUUAUAGUACUGAAGUCUCUUUCCCUUUAGGUCUAAUAUUUGCUUUAUAUAUCUGGAUGCUUCAAUGUUGGAUGCAUAUGUGUUUAUAAUUGUUGUAUUAUCUUGCUGAAUUGAUUCCUUUUUCAUUUUAUAAUGACGUUUUUACCACUUUUUACAGUUUUUGACUUAAAGCCUAUUUUAUCUUAUAUAAGUACCACUUCUCACUUUUUUUCCAUUUGCAUGAAAUGUAUUUUCCAUCUCUUUCUUUUUAGUCUAUAUCUAUUUUAAUAAAGGAGAUGAGUUUCUUGUAGGCAUGUAGUUGGGUCAUGAUUUAAAGUUCAUUCAUUUAAAUCAUUGUGUUGAUUGAUUUCUGGUUAUUUUGUAUGUCUUUUGUUUCUUUCUCUCUUAUUUAUCGUUGUGGUUUUGUGGAUUUGCAGUAACACUUGACUCCUUGUGGUAUUGUGGAUUUGUGGUAACAUUCGAGUUCUUCUUUAUUUGUGUGUUACCUCUACUAGUGGGUUUUAUAUUUUCUUGCAUUGUUAUGAUGGUAAAUAUGGUCCUUUGUCUGCCAGGUAUAGUACUACAGCAUUUCUUGUAGGCCCAGUUUAGUGGUGAUGAAUUCCUUCAGUUUUCACUUCUCUGGCAAAUACUUUAUUUCCCCUUCAUUUUUGAUGAAUAACUUCACUGGAUAUAGUAUUCUUGGUUAGCAGUUAUUUUUGCUUUUAAUAUUUGGAAUAUAUCAUCUCAUCUGGCCUGCAAGGUUUCUACUGAGAAAUUCACUGUUAAUUUGCAGAGAAUUCAUUUAUAUUUGACUAGAUACUUUACUUUUUGUUGCUCUUUUUAUAAUUCUCUUUGUCUUUGACUCCGGCAGUUUGACAAUAAUGUCCCAUGUAGAAGACCUUUCUGCACUGUAUCCAUUUUGUUUAUCUCUUAGGUUCCUGUAUCUGGAUGUCUAAAUCUCUUACUAGACUUGGGAGAUUUUUCAACAAUUAUUUUGUCAGUUUUUUAAUCCCUUAAUUUUCCUUUCAUCUUCUGGAACAUCAAAAAUUCAAGUAUUUGGUCACUUUAUGGUGUCCCAUAUGUCAUGUAGGAUUUCUUUAUUUUUUUUUAUUAUUUAGUCUUUUCUUCUGUCUGAUUUGAUUAUUUCAAAAGACUUGUUUUCAAGUCCUGAAAUUUUUUCUUCUGCUUAAUCUAGUCUAUUUUCGAAGCUCUUGAAUGCAUUUUAUUAAAUGAAGGCUUUAGUUACAGAAUUUCUAUUUGUUUCUUGUUUAGGAUAUAGAUAUCUUAGGUACAUUUCUUAUUUAUGCCCUGAAUUGUUUUCUGAUAUCUUUGUAUUGUUUUUUUCUGUAUUCUCUUAUACCUCACUGGGCUUUUUCAAUAUCAAUAUUGUAAAUUAGUAAUCCAGAACUUUAUAAGUCUAUUUUUGAUUGAAAUCUGUUGCUGAAUAAUUACUGUGUCCCUUUGGAGAUGUCAUAUUUCUUUGCUGUUUUGUGUUUUUCAUGUCCUUAUUUUGGUAUCAGUGCUUCUGGCAUAAUAGUCACUUCUUUCAAUUUUUUGAUUUUUUUUCAUAAGGAACAACUUUUUCCUGAAGGUGUAUUUAUGAUGUUGGUUGGGUACGCCACUUUGGCUUUGAUUCUGCAUGUGUGCAGUAGUGCAGACUUCAUUCGAUUUCUUCAUCAUAAACAGUGUCAAUGGUGUCUAUGAUUUUCUCAGUUGCUUAGGGUAAGUUGUUAAUAGAACCUGUAGUGAAGUUUGCUAGGGAUGAGGAUGCCCAGUGGGCUGGCUUUGGGGACUCAGUGGUGAUAGCGGCAGGCAAAGCAUGCCUGUCCUUUGGUUUCAGGUUAUACACUAACACUCGUUUUAGUGUGUCCAGGUGGGCCAAUUAUUAUGCUCCCAGGUGGCUUGCUCAGGUGUCAGAAGUGGCAACAGUGGGAUGGGUUGCUGCAAGGGUCAUUGGGCUUUUGGGCAGACGGUAUGGUGUGUGCAAUGGCAAUAGCACCAGCAUGACUAACCUCUUGGUUUCAAAAGUCUGUAGUGGUGUUGGGUGUGGCUGUAACAGGCUGGGUGGGACAGUCCCCAGGCCAUGCAGGUGGGUUUCCACUGUGAUGGUAGAGGCAGGUUGGGUAAGCCUAACACCAAGCUCCCAGGAGGAGUGCACUGGUGCCGAUGUUGGUGGACUAAGCUAGGCAGUCCCUAGCCUCCUAGACAGCAUGGUUGGGCACUAGGAGGAUGGAACUGGGCUGGGCCGACCUGUCCUUAGGCUCCAUGGUGGUGCAUUUAGGAGUUGGCUGUAGUGGCCAAAGGAGAGGUGAUCACCAGGCCCAUAGUGGAAUGCUUAUGCAGGGUCAGCAGCAGCCUGAGAGCAGCUCUGCUACUGGGAAGGCAGGGGUUGCUUUCAGUGGCAGCUGCUGUGUGCAGGUAGCUGGGGAGGCAUGCACUUUGUUUGCACUUCAACCAGGGCUGUGGCAGCACACCCUGGCAAGUUGCUGCAAGAAGGGGAGUUUGUCCUUGGGGCCUAGAACAUUUCUUAAAUGACUGCUUUGUGUUAAACUAUACAUACCUGUACUGUCCAAUACAGUAGCCAUUAGUCUCAUGCAACUACUGAACACUUGAAAUAUGAAAAGCCAGAUUGAGAUGUGUUGUUAUUGUGAUAUACACAGCUGAUUGCAAAGACUUCAGUAUGAAAAAUGUAAAACAACUCAUAAAUAAUAUGUAUAUAGGUCACAUGUCAAAGUAAUUUUUUGUAUAUAUUGGGUUACAGAAAAUAUGUUAUAUGUAUUUCACUUUUUAAAAACUUUUCCACGUGUCUACUAGACAAUUUAAAAUUGUAUAAGAGACUUACACUAUAUUAAUAUUAGACAAAGCUGAGACACAGAUAUCAAAAUUCAUAUACUUUGCUUUCAAAAAGUGACAACUCUUUCUAAUUUCUAAUGCUUUGCCCACAUGACCUCAAUACUGAAAGCUCACAACUGCCUAAUUAUAGAGUACUUAGUGUAUAUUUAUUUUUAUUUUACAAACUAGUUAGGUGAGGCUCAAAAUGGUUAAUUUUUUUCAGUGUUUUACAGCUGUAAACAUGGGAGAACUUUAAACCUUGACCCAGGGAGCAGUCAAAGGCGUUGUUUUCCUCCUUGUGUCUCUAGAAAGGGCAUAACCUAAGAUUAAAAAUAACCAAAAUACAAGGCAAAAGAUUUUGGCACAGAGUAAGUUCAAGACUGCUUCCUGGAGAAAGUUUUAGCACUACCUACAGUCCACUGUAUGCAGAAUUGAAAGGCUAUUUGGGCAAUGAUACAAAUCUGUUGCUUCAUAUUUUUAAACUAAAAGUCAACUUGUUAUCUGCAUAUCUGGUUUUUGAUAAUAUCCUUAUGCCUAGGCACAGUGGCUCAUGCCUAUAAUCUCAGCACUUUGGAAGACCAAGAUGAAAGUGUGGUUUGAGCCCAGCCUGGGCAACAUAGUGAGACACUGUCUCUGCAAAAAAUAAAAAUUAGCUGGGCAUGGUGGCAUGCAUCUGUCAUCUCAGCUAUUCAGGAGGAAGGAUAGCUUAAGCCUGGGAGGUCAAGGCUUCAGUGAGCUGUGAUCCUACCACUGCACUCCAGCCUGGGCAACAGAGUGUGAUCCCGUCUCAAAAUAAUAUCAUUAAUAAUAAUAGCUAUGCAUACUUGGCACCAAAAUCUCACUGUUGAGCCAUCUUCUGUUUCAUGUUCAUCAAAAGCUGUGCUGAGUUAAGAGUACGAUACACUAUACUUCAACUCUUUUAGAAUCUCAAAGCUAAGACUUUGCAUCACAUAAGGCCACAACAAUGCUGCAUACUUUCAUUCUGAACUUUAACUGUCCCUUGGAAAAGUUUUCAACAUUUAGAAAUAUGUUCUUGGCUUUUGUCAUAAGCACAUAGAAUAAAUAGCCAAAAUACAUAUUUUUACCAUACUUUAAAAAAAAUGAGAGUACAUUAAGUUUAAAUACACAGUUUAUGAGUUUGGCCAAAGCCUAUAACAAUGUAAUCAACAAUCUAGUAAAAAUAUGAAACUUUUGGCUGAGCACAGUGGCUCACACUCGUAAUCCCAAUACUUUGGGAGGCUGAGGUGAGCAGAUCAUGAGGUGAGGAGUUCGAGACCAGCCUGGCCAACACUAUGAAACCCCAUCUCUACCAAAAAUAAAAAAUUAGCUGGUCAUGGUGGCGGGUGCCUAUAAUCCCAGCUACUCGGGAGGCUGAGGAAGGAGAAUUGCUUGAACCCAGGAGGCAGAGGUUACAGUGAGCCAAGAUUGCGCCACUGCACUCCAGCCUGGGUGACAAGAGCAAAACUCUGUCUCAAAAAAGAAAAAAAAAAUCCACAAGAUAUGAAACUUUUACAUUAUCUCCAGAAACGUUCAGUGAAUCCUUACACCUUUAGACAACAUUGUUAUUAGUCAUUUUGUCUGUAGUUAUUUUUUAUGUGAAUGGAUUAAUAAAGUUUGUAUUCUUUUGAGUGUACCUCUUUGUUCAUUAUGAUAUUUCAUGAGAUUAAUUUAUGUUUUGUUUGGAAUUCUAAGCAACAGUCCAUUGAAUGAGUAUAACACAAUUUGUUUAACAAUUCUCCUGCUGUAGGAUAUUUGAGUUGUUUGAGGUUUGGGACUAUUAUUAAUAACGUGUUAAGAGAGUAUAUCCUGUAUCAGUCAUUUAUUUGUGGCCAAAAUUAAAAGUUCCCUGCUUUUACAUUUUAUAGCUGUUCAUAUAUGUUAUUCAUUAUGUGGUUCCAUUUCCCUUAUGCACAGACGUAAAAUAUAAUUUCUGUUAAGAGUUAAGUUAUAAAAUUUUUGAUAUAAUAAUUACCUCCAAACCUACCUUCUAAUAUUAUAUUUUUCAUGAUUCUUUUCAUUUUGGAACAACUGUUUCAAAUAUUUUUGUAUAUAUGUGUGAUUUGCAAAAAUAAGAGAGUAAACAAUGAAACUUAGCUGAAAUGUGCUUAGUGCAAUAUAAGAACUACUUAUAAAGGGCUAUCCCUUGUAAAAGGUCGCUUUCAGUUUCAUGUAAAAUAAGAAGGUAUUUUGGCUUGAAAGGAUUAUAAAAAUAUAAAAAGCUCAACAUUUUCUUUUUUAUAGAAUAUAUAAACAUUUUUGUCACUGACUUUUUUUAAUGUCAAAAUAAAUAGUUUCUCUAACUUCUUUCCUUCAAUCUCUCAUUAUAGAGUAUAAGAUGUUUUAAGAGUAUUUACUCCUAUUUAUACCAUCUAAAUUUACUCCUGCUUAUACCACGGAUGUUUUAAACUAUGUCUAUGCACCUGUGAGUAUAUUUUUAAACUGAUGAUAGGACAGGUAUUACUUUCCCAGGGCCGCAAUAAAAAAUUUCUGUAAACUUGGUGGCUUAAAACAAUGUAAAUGUGUUCUCUUAAAGUUCUGAAUGUCAGAAGUCCACAAUCAAGGUUUCUGCAGGUACACUCUCUCUCUUUCUAAAGACCUGUUUUUUUUUGUCUGUUUGUUUUUUGUUGUGUUUUUGUUUUUUCUUUAUUGUUGUUGUUGUUGUUCUUCCAGCUUCUGGUGGCUCCAGGCAUUCCUUAGCUUGUGGCUGCAGAACCCCAAGCUUUGCCUCCAUUUUCUUCAGUCCCCCAGAGCAUGCCUGCAAAACUCUGCCCCCAACUUCACAUGAACUUUUCACCUGUGUGUCUCUCCUCUUUGUGUUUAUUAUAAGGAUCUUUGUCAUUAGACUUAAGACCCACUCAGAUAAUCUAGGUUGAUCUCAUCUCAAAAUCCUUAACUUACAUCUGCAAAGAUUGUUUUCCAAAUACAAUCACAUUCACAGGUUUUCGGAUUUAGGCUGUGGGCAAAUCUUUUCUGGCAGCCACCAUUCAACCCUCUACAGAACCCCACACAUGAAUAUCCUGAAUUGUAAUUUCCAGGAAAAAGCCCUGACAAUACAUUGUAUAGUGACCAAUUAUCACCUGGCAGAAAAGUGAAAAAGAAAGGCCUAGUACACCCACAUUUCUAUUAGCAGCUUGACUUAGAAGUUGCUAAUAUCAAUUCUGAUCACAUUUCAUUGCCCGGGUCUUAGUGGUAGGAGUGUCUUAUACUCGGAAAGGGGCUGAGAAGUACCGUCUCUCACUGGGGGGGUGUCGAUAUGCCCAAGGAUCUACUACUGACAGAAAGGAGAUAAUUGAUAGAGGUUCAUAAUUAGUGAUCUCUACCACAACAUACUUGCCUACUUAUUUUUACAAAAGAAGAUACCAUAGCUUUUCAACCUGGUAUCUAUUCUCAAAUUCUUCACUUAAUCUGCUAUAACUAUAACCAAAUUGGUGUAUCCUCUAAACUUCCAGUUCUUUUAAAUAUGCAAGAUGAAUAUAUUUCACCCAAGUGUGUUAAUAUUUAUGAGCUAUUGGAGGCGUUAAGAAUUAUGAUGUAUUGUGAAGGUUGUCAGAAUCAAAAUGGAAUUAAAACAAUGUUAAAACAAAACAAAUCUUAGCUAAACUAAUGAUAAUCAAACAAAGAAAUCCCAAAACCCAACAAAUAGAGCCAGAGGACCAUGAAGAGAGUUUUCAUGCUAGUAUGGCUGAAAAAAAAAAAUCACAAAAGAUGGCAAAAACCACCACCUUGCACAAAAGCCGUCACAAUCUUACACAUAAAAAUAUUCUGAAGAUAUCUUAGCAACUGCCUGUCCAACCUCAGAUUGGUGUCAUUCUUGUAUUAAUCUUUUCAGACAAGGAUAAUCAUUUCAAAAUAAUUAGGUAAAACUCAUUUUUCCUUUAAAACUUUGUGUUUCUUCACCUCCCUUAAUAUGCAUAUAGUUUAUUAUUGCAUGCCUAUUCCUAUUGCAAUGUUCUGUUCCCAAAUAUAUAUAUUUUUAAUUUUAGAGAGCUUGCUCUGUUAUUUAGCCUGACAGUAUAAAGAUGCACUGUGAACUAUAAAGUUCUAACUUAAAUUAAAAUAAGAUAUUAUUUGAAUAUAGUAAAGGGAAACUAUAUCCUUUAAAUACCAUCAUUCUAAAGCUGUCACAAUUACGGUUAGGGCAUUCAAAAAUGAUGUAAAUGUUAUAUUCAUAAAUUGUCAAAAAGAUAAUUCAAAAUAGAAAUUAUUUAAAAAAUUUAAAGUACUACAACAAUAUUUAUAUCACAAUUUAGCAUUGUGAUUUAUGCAUAUAAUCACAUGCACAUACAAACACUUAGAUACACAUGUAUAUUUUUCAUGUAACAUUGAAUAAAUUGUUUAAGACAACCCUUCCAUUUUCCACAUGAAGAAUACUGGGGUUCAGAGAUACUAUGUAACUUGACCAGGGUAAUUUAGCUGGUCAGGAACAGAAUGGAUACUAUACAGUAAUCCUCCCUGAUAUGCAGUUUUCACUUUUUGCAGUUUCAGUUACCUGCAGUCAGCCUACGUCCAGAAAUAUUCAAUGGAAACUUCCAGAAAUAAACAAUAACUUUAAAAUUGCAGGAUGAGUAGCGUAAUAAAAUCUGACACCCUCCCUCUCCGUCAUAUUUGGGACUUGAAUUAUCCCUUUGUCUGGUGUAUCCAUGCAAUAUACACUACCUGCCUGUUGGUCACUUAGUAGCUGUCUUGGGUAUCAGAAAGAUUGUCACAAUAUCACAGUGCUUGUGUUCAAGCAGCCCGUGUUUUACUUAAUAAUGGCCACAAAAUGCAAAAGUAGUGAUGCUAGCAAUUUGGAUAUGCCAAAGAAAAGCCAUAAAAUGCUUCCUAUAAGUGAAAGGCGAAAGUUCCCAACUUAAUGAGGGAAGGAAAAAAAAUCAUAUGCUGAGGUUGCUGAGACCCAAAGAGAUAAUAAAUCUUCUAUCAGUGAAAUUGUGAAGAAGGAGAAAAAAUGUGCUAGUUUUGCUGUCACACCUGAAACUUAAAAUGUUACAGCCACGGUGCAUGGUAAGUAAUUAGGUAAGAUGGAAAAGUCAUUAAAUUUGUGGGUGGGAGACAUGAACAGAAACAUAUUUCAAAUGACAGCAAUUGGGUUUGGUACUAUCUGCAGUUUCAGGCACCCACUGGCCUCCUUGGGAGGUAUCCCCUGCAAAUAAAAAGAACUUCUACAAUCUGUAUUUCAUUCUAAUGCCAAAGAUAAAGCUAAAACAUUUAUUUGCACUUUAUAAUGAUGGAGCAAAAUAUUAUUGUAUUAAUGAAUCUUAGAUUUUAUUAAAAUAAGAGUAAGAUUACUACAAUGACUUUAAUUCUAAACAUUGCCUCUUUGCUUUGAAGCAAAGAUAUUGAAAUCUUCAGUUAAAUUUAGGCAAUUAUGUAGGGUAAAAAAGCAUGUAUUUUACUAUGUACCAGCUUAAUUCAUAAUAAUAAGAUUUUCUAAUAAAGUACAUCAUAUAGAAUUCCUAGCCUAGUGAUAGGAAAUGUAUAAUUUUAUUAAUUUUGUUAACUUUGCUAAAUAUGAGAUGCCUAAAAUUGGAACCAUAUCUUCAUAUGUUGCCAUUGAAAUUGAAAAUAAAUUUGAUCCCUGAUGAAAUAUUCACAUUUUGUUCAGUUCAAUGGAAAUUAAUAUUGAUUCAUCAUCUUUAGUACACUGGAGACCACAUUAAAGUGUCAAACUACUAGCUUGUCAUCUUCAUUGACAAUUAAAUUUCCUUUAAAACAGAGAUGUGGGAAAUUGAAUUUGUUCCUUGUAAAUGGAAAAAAAAAAGAUUGAAUUGCAUACUGAUUCCCAGAAUGAUUGAAUCCUUUCUGGAUGAAACAGCAUUAAAUAAGAUUAUGAACAGGAGAGACUAUUUUCUUUCUUUGAUAAUGUUAAUGGAUUGGAUUUCAGAGUGAUUGACAGAAGUUAAAGUUACUCCAUUGGUUGGAAAACUAAAUGGUGGAGACCUUAUAGAAAAUUAACAAUUUGUUAAAAUGCCUAGAUUUGUACAGAGUCUUCUCCAACUUCUGGUUUUAUAGCAGCAGAAAACCAUACUAAACUCAAUUCUUCAACCCUAGGUUGUACAUUUGGACAGAGGAGAAUAAUAUGCCAUUGAGAAGGUUUCUGAAUAUUGCUUGCCCUUCCUCCUAAAUCUGUAAAAGUAAUGAGCAGUUCAUACCUGUAAUAUGGUAUUUCUGACUCAGUAAGCGCUUAAGGAUGUUAUAAGCAUUCUUUGAAUCCUGGGAAAUAUAAACAUCAAGCUGGUCUUAUCUGGAACCACUGAGUUCUUAAAUGUGUUUGGCAAAUAUAUAUGGUAAAUAGAUGGGUAUAAUAAAAAAAGAGGAUGACAAAAAAAUUAAAUCAUUUUUAUGAAAUGUCUGUAUAUGACCAAGAAAAAAAAAUCAAGCUUGGAUCACUUUUGUGGAGACCAUCACAAUGCAGCACAAAAGCAUUGAUUUGUAGUUUUCAGCAAAGUGGCUUUGACAUAAAAUUGUGAAAUAGACACUCUUCACCUCCCUUGAUAAUCCUUCACUAUUUUAUUAUGAGUCCAAUAAACUAACACUCUUUCUCCACAUAUACUUUUAAAAUGUUUUUUAGUCAUUUUGCUCCUAUUGGCAUGUAACUAAUAACAGCUUUAAAUUACACAGGAAGAUUCAUUUAUACUCUGACACUCGAGGCCCCAUGAUUAAUUCAAUGUUAAGAUACCUAGCAUUAUGUGUACCACAAUAUUCCCUACCCUACUGUAUAAAUUCACAAAUCUUCUCUGAUAGAAAAGACUUAUGCACUGAUAUUCGCUAUCCUAUAACACUCAAAUGUUUAGCAAAUAAACUUUUGUCUAAUAUUUUCUUUAAAAAUGUGUGCCAAUCUCAUUUUUUCUUUUUGCAAACUCUUCAAAUUAUAUUGUGUAAUAUAUUUUUCUUAAAUCAUUUUCCCCUCUACUCUUCAGAUUUGAUAACUUACAUUGAUCUGUCAUCCAAAACAUUGACAUUCCUCCAACUGAGUAAAGUCCAUCUACUUCAGUUUUAAAAUUUUAUUCUUAUUUUUAAAAUUUCUAUUGUAAACACUUUAUUGUAUAAAUUUUAUGUGAUUUGACAUAUAUGUCAUAUAUAUGUCAAUAAUUUGUGUAUCUACAUAUACACAAAUUAUUACUGCAGGUAAGAAAUUCAACAUAUUUGUUACUUUCCAUCAUUACCUUUUUGUUGUUGUUGUAAGAGCACCUAAAGUCUACAUCCUUGGCAUAUUUUUUACUAUACAAUGCGAUAUUAUUAACUGUAGUAUUCUUGCUGUACAUUAGAUCUCUAGACUACGUAAUUUAAAGUUAGUGCUCUUUUAUCUAAUCUUUCCAUUUCCUCUCAUUCCCCACCUCUGAUAAACACCAUUCUACUCUCUGUGUUUUUGUAUUUGACUUUUUUUUUUCAGGAUUCCACAUGUAAGUGAGAUCAUGAUUUUUUUUUCCUGUGUCUGGCUUAUGUCACUUAGCAUGACAUCCUCCACGUUUAUUCAUGUUGUUGCAAAUGACAAUUUCUACUUCUUUUUUAAGACUGAAUAAUAUUCUAUCAUAUAGAGUAUAAAAUCUAAAAUUCAUUUUUUCACUUAAUUCUUAGAACACUUUUACAUUUAUAGAAAAUUUACAAACAUAAUACCAAAGAGUCUCAUAUGCCCUGCACCCAGUUCCCCAUAAUGUGAACAUCUUACAUUAGUUUGACAGAUUUGUCACAAUUAACAAACAAAUAUUAAUACUCAAGUAUUAACUAAAUUCCAUAUUUGAUUAAGAUAUUCUCAGUUUUUACCUAAUGUUGUUUGUUGUUGUUUUCAUUCUAGGAUCUCACCAAAGUUCUUGCAUUGCAUUUAGUCAUUAUAUCUGCUCUUGGUUGUGACAGUUUCUUAGAUCUCCCUGUUUUUGAUGACCUUGACAGUUCUGAGUGAUACUAUUUGAAUACUUUGUAGAAUGUCCCUCAAUUAUUAUUUGUCUGAUAUUUUGUCAUGUUUAUAUUGGAUUUAUGUUUGUUUUUUGGUUGGAAGACCAUAGAAGUAAGGUCAAUUUUUUUCAUAUUAUAACAAAGUAAAUGCUAUAUACAUGAUUAAUGGCUAUUGAUGUUGACCUUGAUUGCCACGCUAAGGUAGUGUUUGUCAGGUACCUCCAGUGUAAAAUUACUCUUUUUCCUCGCUGUCUAUACUGUACUCUGUGGAAGGAGGCUACUAUGUGCAACUCAAACACAAAUAUACACACACACAUUAGUUUGUUUAAUUUUCUGAUUAUUGACCAUUGGAGAGCUAGCCUGGUACCCAAUGGAAAAGAUAUUCUCCUAGAAAAUGAGUUGAAACCAUUUUUUUGUAUUUACAAAAUAAUUAUUAUAAAUAGCUUCUACAUUCACGAGUGUGCUUGAAAAUUGUUCUGUAUAAUCUUAUUCUUCCAUUUUCCUUUCAUGUAAAAUGAAACUUUUGUCAGAGAGUAUGAAAAUUACCUAAUGACAUAUUUUUCUCCUAUUUCUGUAGACUUCUUAAAUAUUUCUAGAUUAUUUCCAUUGUUAUUUCUGGACAUAUAUUCAGAUAAGGAUCACACAGUGGUUGUUGUCAAUGGUUUGUAUAUAAUCGUAUAACAUCUUCUGUAAAACACAAUCAGAAUCUUUAAGCAUAAUCUAUUAAAAAGAAAACAACUAAAAGUAAACAAAAGAAAAAAUUAUUUCCUCUUUUUUCCACAUAACUUUUCUUUCAAGAUUCUCAAGAUUCUAAGCUGAAUAUGUCCGAAUGAAAUUACACUGACUUCCUUCUGUAUCUAUUUUAUAACUUCAUGCAUCUUGAAAUGCAUUUUUAUGUUCAUUAUUGAAUUCAUAUCCGUGAAUUUUAUCUACCAAAUAUUUUAUAGAACAAUUAGUAGGAAACAAAUAUUAAAAUAUAAACAGGUAGGUGUUUAAAUUAAAAAAAACAGAGAAAAUCCCAAGAAAUUUUUAUAAAUUAGAGUGAAAAAAUUACCAAAAAAUUUUUAAUUUAUCUCUUAUCCAUUUGACAUUAUCUAAGAAAGUUUGAAGGAUUUUAAAGAGGCAAGUAAUGGGAUUAAAUCUUCACUUGGGUAUGUCAGACACAUCAGCCACCCAAAUGUCAGGAGUGACAUUCCUAAGGUGAGAUCAUUGUAUUUGUCUGUGGUAAUUGUGCCCUUUAUUCCUUCUCUUAUUUCUCUCCACAAUCCUUUCUUGCCAAAGCUGCUUUUAUCCCCAGGGCCAUGUCUUCAGUGUUCCUUCCCUCAUUUUAUAAGGAGAGGGUUUAGAAGAUGGAUCCUAGGUUCAGAUGAGGAUUAAUAAUUGUGUUAUUUUAGCAUUCAUUGAGAAGAUGUAUUUGAAAACCUCUUCCAACAGUGAUAUUUCAUUCAUUUAUUACUUGAAUAGUUUCAGAUAAAUAAUAUCUGAUAGAGAAACUUUUGGUAGUUUCCUUUUUUUUUUUUUUUGAGAUGGAGUCUCACUCUGUCACCCAGGCUAGAGUGCAGUGGCGUAAUCUCAGCUCACUGCAACCUCUCCUGGGUUCAAGUGAUUCUCCUGCCUCAGUCUCCUGAGUAUCUGGGAAUACAGGCGCGCACCACCACACCCAGCUAAUUUUUGUAUUGUUAGUAGAGACGGGGUUUUACCAUGUUGGCCAGGCUGGUCUUGACCUCCUGACCUCAGGUGAUCCACCCGCCUUGGCCUCCCAAAGUGCUGGGAUUACAGGUGUGAGCCACCGCACCCAGACUACUUUUGGUGCUUUCUAAUGAUACUAAAAGUAUAAAGAAAAUUUUCUUGGAAGUAUGGAAAUCACUGGACUUCUAGACAGCUUUUCUAGACAAGGAGAAGAGUUUGGGGGAUGACAAAUAAUAGAAAUUAACUUGUGCAACUCUUAUUUAGGAAUAUAAUAAUGAGAGAUUAAAUAAUAGAAAAUAUGCAUAUGCUUAAUUCAUAGUUACCAUCCAUACUUGAUUAGCCAUUUGUCAUAUCCAUAAUUUGAAUUUUAGUUGCUCACAUAUUUGAUGAUCACAAUGAAGCUUGAUAUUUUGCAAUAAAAAUAAUAAAAUUUGGGAUUUAAGAUUGUUCAGCUCAGUACGUUUCUUGUGGUCCCCUUUUAUUCUCCUGAAACUGAGAGAAUAAAAAGGGAGAACAAAUAAACUUUUUAAAAUCCUUUUUAAAAAUUUCAACUUUUAUUUUAGAUUCAGGUUUGUUACAUGGGUAUAUUGGGUGAUGCUGAGGUUUGGCCAGGUAAUGAGCAUAGAAUCUAGUAGUUAGUUUUCCAGCCCGCUACCCUACUUCUCCCAGUAGUCUCCAGUAUUUAUUGUUCUUGUCUACAUGCCAACGUUUGGCUCCCACUUAUGAGUGAGAACACAUGGUGUUUGUUUUUCUGUUCCUGUGCUAAUUUUCCUGGGAUAAUGGUCUCCAGCUGCAUCCAUGUUGCUGCAAAGAACAUGAUUUUUUUUAUGGCUGCAUAGUAUUCCAUGGUAUACAUACACCUAAUUUUCUUUACCCAAUCCACCAUUAAUGGGCACCUAACUUGAUUCCAUGUCUUUGUGUUUGUGAAUAGUGCUUCAAUGAGCAUACUAGGGCAUGUCUUUCUUUGGUGGAAUAAUUUAUUUUCCUUUGGAUAUAUAACCAGUAAAAGAAUUGCUGGGUUGAAUGGUGGUACCCUUUUAAGUUCUUUGAGAAAUCUCCAAAAUACUUUUCACAGAGGCUGAACUAAUUUACAUUCCCAGCAACCUUGUAUAAGUGCUCCCUUUUCUCCACAGCCUCCUCAUCAUGUUAUUUUUUGACAUUUUAGUAAUAGCCAUUCUGACUGGCGUGAGAUGGUAUCUCAUUAUGGUUUUGAUUUGCAUUUCUCUAAUGAUUAGUAAUGUUGAGAACUUUUUCAUAUAAUUCUUGGCUGCAUGUAUGUCUUCUUUUGAGAAGUGUCUGUUCAUGUUCUUUGCCAAGUUUUUAAUGAGGUUGUUUUAUGCUUGUUACUUAUAGAUUCUGGAUAUUAGACUUUUGUUGGAUGUAUGCUUUGCAAUUAUUUUCUCCCAUGCUGUAGGUUUUGUGUUUACUCUGUUGAUUGUUUCUUUAGUUUUGUAGAAGCUCUUUAGUUUAAUUAAGUCCCAUUUGUCAAUUGUUGGUUUUAUUGUGAUUACUUUUGAAGACUUAGCCAUAAAUUAUCUGCAAAGGCUGAUGUCUGGAAUAUUGUUUCCUUGGUUUUCUUCUAGUAGUUUUAUAGUUUGAGGUCUUACAUUUAAAUCUUUAAUCAAUAUUGAGAAAAUUUUAAUAUAUGGUGAAAUGUAGGGUUCCAGUUUGGUUCUUCUGCAUAUGGUUAGAAAACUAUCCCAGCACCAUUUAUUGAAUAGGGAGUCUUUCCUCAUUGCUUAUUUUUGUCUACUUUGUUGAAGAUUAGAUGGUUUUAGGCCUGUGGCUUUAUUUCUAGGUUCUCUAUUCUCUUCCAUUGGUCUGUAUGUCUAUUUUUAUAUUAUUACCAUCUUUUUUAUAGUAACCUUAUAGUGUAGUUUGAAAUCAGAUAGCGUGAUACUUCUGGAUUUGUUCUUUUUGUUUAGGGUUGCUUUGGCUUUUCGGGCUCUUUUUCAGUUUCAUAUGAAUUUUAGAACAGUUUUUUUUUUAAAUCUGUGAAAAAUGGCAUUGGUUGUUUAAUUAGAAUAAAAUUGAAUAUGCAGAUUCCUUUGGGGGCAGAAUGGUGAUUUCAAUGAUAUCGAUGCUUCCAAUCCAUGAGCAUGGAAUGUUUUUCGAUUUGUAUGUGUCACCUAUGCAUUCUUUCAGCAGUAUUUUGUAGUUCUUCUUGUAGAGAUCUUUUGUCUUCUUCAUUAGAUGGAUUCCUAGGUGGUUUUUUUUUUUUUUGGCUAUUGUUAAUGGGUUUGUAUUCUUGAUUUGGCUGUGAGCUUGAAUAUUAUUGGUGUAUAGAAAUCCUACUGCUUUUUAUACAUUGAUUUUGUAUCCUAAAACAUAACCGACGUCAUUUUUCAGUUCUUGGAGCCUUUUGGUGGGGACAUUAUGGUUUGCUAGAUAUAUAAUCACAUCAUCAGCAAAGAUAAAUAAUUUGACUUCUUCUUUUCCUAUUUAAAUUCAUUUUAUUCCUAUAUUUUGCCUGACUGCACUGGCUAAGACUUCCAUUAUUAUGUUGAAUAAUGAGUGGUGAUAGUGGGCAUCCUUGUCUUGUUCCUGUUCUUAAGGAAAAUGCUUCCAGCUUUUGCCCAUUAGUAUGAGGUUGGUUGUGGCUUUGUCAGAGAUGGCUGUUAUUAUUUUGAGGUAUGUCCUUUGAUGCCUAGUUCAUUGAGGGUUUUUAUCGAGAAAGGAGACUACAUUUUAUCAAAAACUCUUUCUGCAUCUAUUGAAAUGAUCAUAAGGUUUCUGUUUUUAAUUUUGUUUAUGUAGUGAAUCAUAAUUAUUGAUUUGCACAUGUUGACCUAGGCUUGCACCCCAGGAAUACAGCCUACUUGAUUGUGGUGAAUUAACUUUUUGAUGUGCUGCCAGAUAUGGUUUGCUAGUAUUUUGCUGAGGAGUUUUGCAUCUAUGUUAAUUCAGGAUAUUGUCCUAUAGCUUCUCGUUAAGUGUUAAGAUUUUCUAAAUUUUCACCAUGUUUACCAUUCUUCCCUAAAUAGGCUACUAUCAGUCUGUUGUCACAAGAUGUUUUAUAAGGAAAUAAAAUCAUGUUAUGAGCAAAGGGAUUCAGAUAUGAAAUGCAAGGCCAAUAACUGAAGAAGUUAUAAAAUAAGAGUUUACCCAUUUUCAAUUUUUUGGCCUAGUCACAUCAAAGGGAAGGAUUCUAGGACAAGGUUCGUUAAUAGUUUGUUUUUUUAGCCAGUUCAUCUCUACUGGGACCCUCUAACAUCCAUACUAUAUUUUAUAUUAUUUCCUUUGUGUAUGUGUGUGUGUGUGUGUGUGUGUUCACCUUAACAUAGAAAAUCACCGUAACAUAGAAAAUCUUUAGGGGAUGAGAGCUGGGAAGGUAGAGAAUGCUAUCUAACCCUCUCACCGUCCUCAACAAAUUGUGUCUACUCUAGUUUUCCUAAGGUAAACAGAUUUGGGGACUUUAAAGACAGGAAGAGUUUCCCUAAUUUCUCUGCAAUUAUGCUAUUAUAUCUCUUUUCUGAGACUACGGAAGCAUAAUGGCUGAGCAAUAGGCUAAGGUAGGAGCAAAUGAAGUGAAGAGGGAAUAAGAGCUUUAUUUAAGUUUCAAGCCCAUUAUUCUGUUACAUAUAUCUUUCUUUUCUAGUAGUGCUUUUCAUAUAAAAGGUCCUCAUUAAACAUUUGGUGAGUGAAUGAGUGACCUGGAAUGAACAGUGCCUGUACAUAAAGUCUGAGGUGACCAGGACACCUUCCAAUUUCAGAAACUACUAUUAGGCAGCUGUGACCCUUGAAAGACUGUGGCUUCAGCUGGAGCUCAUAUAAAUUCAGCAUGUUAAAGAAUAUUAAACUUUUGUUGUUGAAUAUUCAAAAGUAUAGCAAGUUGUUAGAAAUGGCCUGAAAUUUAUUUUUGUUUAUAAAAGUGUUCCCAGCUUUAAAAUGAGCUGUUCCCAAAAUUAGUGGGGCAAUUUUGGUGAGAUUAUAUUCAUGAGGCCUUACACAGAACUGGGAAUGAAUAUGAAAAAAAGCUGAAAGGACUAUUUAUGUAUGGGAAAGUUAUAAAGGAGUAUGUCUGGAUGAGUAAAAGUCUACUUAAAGGAUUGCACCACAGCUUGUGCCUGACAACUUUGGAGACAUGAUUGAGGGAUUAAAGUAGAACAAAGUAUUUGAUAAAAAGUUGCUCUGUUAGUCAGGAGGGCACACACAGGAAUGCUUUGAUGGCCAUAUGUCAAUGUGUGAAUCUGAAUUGGAAGGGACAAUUUUUCCUAUACAUCUGCAAGGCACAGCAUUGUCAUGGUGUUUUGGUGCAAAGACUCUAGGGGAUUCAUUAUCAGGACUGAUAUCGUGAACAUUUUGUGAGAGCUGCCAGUACAGAAGCACCAGCAGCAAUAGCAGUGAUGGAGAACCUGGAAGAGACAUCAUAGGCCAUGAGCAUUAGUAAUAUUAAGAGCAGGUAAAGAAGAGCAUCAGGACAUCAGGUGAGAGAAUGCUCAAAGUACCAGUCAAAUUGAGUGUGAUGUGUCUGGGAAGCUACUAAGUGAAGGAGAGUUGUUCUUUAUAAUGCUGGAAGUAUGUCAAUAGCAUGUAACAUCUUAAACCACACAAAGAGGCUCACAGUGCAGCCCCAUUUGUGCCCAGUAUUGUCUGAAUUGAUGAAACAGAGUUUUCAUGAUUAAUUCGUACAUAUUUGCUUGGUUUUCAAAAGAUUCUUACAAUCACUAUCUUGGAAGAGUUAAUUUAAUAAUAUGCCCUCAGCCCAGGAGGACUCUUGGUAUGAUACAGUUACCUGAGAUACAGUUAACUGAGAUACAGUUACCAGAUUAGAAAAGAAAAGUGCAGGACACUCAUUUAAAACUGAAUUUCAGAUAAACAGCAAUUUUUUUAGUGUAAUAUUGUUCCAAAUAAUACCUGGAACAUACUUAUAUGAAAAAAUGUUGUUUAUUAACAAUUUAAAUUCAACUGGAUGUUCUAUCUUUCAUCUAGUAACCCUACACUGGACCUGUUGCAUCAGUAACCUCCAUCUGCCAGGUGGCCAUCACUUCUUAUUUCUUUACAAAGGUGGAGGCGUGGUGAGGUUCUGCAUCAUAUAAGAUUGCACUUGACUCUGACUCUGCAGCUGCUCUGCUUGCUUCCUCAUUGGUGUCCCCUGCUCCUGGGUGAGGCACUUCACUGUUCAUGGCCUUCUGUCUGCGUGGGAGUGGAGCAUGUUCCUGAUUUGGUUUCUGCAGUCAGCACAUCAUCAUCGAUUUCCCUCGUGGUCUUCUGUGCUUCUUUCUCUCCCAUUUCAAUAGAGAUUCCUUUCUCUAGUCACCUCUUUUAGAAGAAUAUACUUUAGAAAAAACUGUUUUCAUUUUGUACCAUACAACUAUCUCCUUUCCAGGAGUAGGUGUGUAGAUGGUAUGCAGUAGGUGUGUAGUGAUAGGUUGAAGGAACAUUCAGGCACAAUUAAUAAAAUACUGAGAAGCAUUGUUUUCUACAGAAACUAUACCCUAGCUCCAAGUUUCCCCACUAUGUGGAGCUCCUUCCUUCUUUGUGAUAAUUUUUGAGUCAAAGAGUCAACUGCCUUUCUAUGAAACACAUUCCCAUGAGUUAUUCCUGAUCUCAGGUUCUUCGGAUGUUUGUGUAACUAUGUCUGCAGUCCUAUUUUGACUGAAAUCAAGUUCUCUUCCUUGGGAUUUCUGGACCUAAGGGAAUAAGAAAAUACAGUGAAACAUUUGUUUUCCUAUUCCUACAUGAAAAUUAAGAAGGCUGUUUUUUUCCUUUUGUUUGUUUCUGGAUUUUUGUUUUGUUUUGUGUGGUUGGUUUUGCCUUAUUUGAUAUUAUAUAGAAGACACAGAGAAAGUCAGGCUUGUCUCAUCCAUCUGUUUUAAUUGGGUAUUUUGAGUAUCAGCCCUAGCCCAGAUGAAACACUUUAUUGGACUUUCUAGUUAAAUGCUUUCUAUCUCAGCCCUAGCACAGAUAAAAAAUUGUAUUGCAUUUUCUAGUUAAAUACUUUCCAUGUAAAGUGGAUUUUUUAUUCAUUUGCAUGUAUAUUCUUUCAUCUUUGAAGAAUAAACAUAUAUGAGUUUUAUCACUUCUUUUUCAAAGAAGAAAGGAUUUAUGUUUGGUAAUAUGUAAGAUAUGAGAAACAUCAAGACUCAAAGAUAAACUUUGCUCUCAGAUGUCCGGUCACUAAUUGUGCUACCCAUCUCUGCACUUGAAUUUCCUUUUCUGUUAGGUGAGAAUAAUGAACCCUGCUGUUGUGGAUUUUUUUAAUAGUAGGGUGCUAUUACAUUCUGGAAUUAAUCAAGGAGUUACUUAAUAAAAUAUAUUCCAGUGUAUUAUAAGCACCUUUAGAUUUAAAAAGUGAACUUUUUAGUUGAGACUAAGGGAUUUUGAUCUCAUACCGUGACAAGAAGAUCUUGCCCAUUUCUUUCAUAUAAAGUGGUUGAAAGAAUUUAAUAUUCAUCUCACCCUUAAAUGACUUUGAUGCCUGAUUUUCAGCAAGCCUUUGAAUUUCUCUGUUUUCAAAAAUAUUGCUUCCAGGGGGCAGAUUGCCAUGGUUUUCUCAAAUUAACUUCCAGGCAUGCUUAUGUAAAGGGAAACUUGGUUAGUAAAAUGGACAGGGUUUAUUUGUCAGGGGAAAUGACUCCAGAAGAAAUGUAGACACAAAAGUGCCACUGUACGGAAAUUGAAGAGCUGAGCUCUUACUCUCAGCUUUAACAAUAAAAUGCUUUGUGACACUCAGAAACCUCUUUUGACUUUCUGAGACCUCAAUUUCUUUAAAUCUUGAAACAUAACAAUAGACUACAUUUGUAAUUCCCAAAGACAGUUGAACAGAAUCAUCUUGAGGUUUUAUCUUUUAAGUUAAGAUUCCUAGAUUCCUCCCCACAAUUCAUGACUCUGGCCACCCUACCUGGGAAAUUUCCUUGUUCCAAUGAUUGCCUUACAAAACAGCAACAGUCAAGGUGCAAUUGAAAUAGGAGAGUUCCCUGGUCCCCCUCCCAGGAUGUGCAACAGUAGUGUAGCUUGGCCCCACUGCUGCUUAUAGCAGUGGGAGCAUGCAGACAGGCAGGUGCAGUAGCCGGGUCCAGUGCUUCUGGGCUCUGGCCCCAUGGUAGCAUCUAGGGUUGCCUGUGACUCCUGAAGCCCAAGUAGGCACGAGUUACAGUGCUCUCUUUUAGAUUCGCCAUCUGUGGGUGGUUUAAGUGCUAAACAGCUCAGUGGGCCCUCUGCCUUUUUGCAAGGGCAGAGGGCCAGUGUGACAGCUUUCUUUAUCCCCAGCUCUUGUCUGGCAUCCAGGAAAAAUCAGGUCAUGCACAGACUUAAAGGAUGGUGAAUACAGAGGUUUUAUUGAGUGGUGGAGGUGGCUUUCAGCGGGAUGGAUGGUGAGCUAGAAAGGGGAUGGAGUGGGAAGAUGAUCUUCCCUUGGAGUUUGGCCAUCCAGCAGCUGAUCUUCUCUUCAACCCUCCCCAGCCAAACUCCUCUGGAUGUUCGGAUGUUCCUUCUCCUCUCUCCUUCUCUGCUGCACUUCUGCUUUUCUGUUCAUCUUCCCAUCUGCUCAUGGAGCCUGGGGUUUGGGGUUUAUAUGGGUACAGGAUGGGGGAGGAGUGGUAGGCCAAAAGGCAACAUUUGGGCAAGAAGACAGGAAUUCCUGUUCCCAUUUAGAGCUGUGGGUUUCCAGGCUUGGGGUGGGGCUUUUGCUGGGGAACCACCCUCUUCUACCCAGAAUUUCUGUCUCCUGUCCAUACCACAAUUGGUUUGGUGCCACAAAAAAAAAAAGUGAGUUCAUAAUAUUUGAUGUCAAAAAUAUGAACUGUGUUUAAGUUAAAAAUACUGUAUACAGGCUGAGCGCAGGGGCUCAGACCUGUAAUCUCAGCAGUUUGGGAGGCCGAGGUGGGUGGAUCACAAGGUCAGAAGAACGAGACCAUCCUGGCUAACACGGUGAAAUCCCGUCUCUACUAAAAAUACAAAAAAUUAGCCGGGCGUGGUGGCAUGCACCUGUAGUCCCAGCUGCUGGGGAGGCUGAGGCAGGAGAAUCACUUGAACCCGGGAGGCGGAGGUUUCAGUGAGCUGAGACCGCACCACUGCACUCCAGCCUGGGCAACAGAGAGAGACUCUCUCUCUCAAAAAAAAAAAAAAUACUGUAUACAAAUAAUAAAUACUACAUAUUGAGAUAAAAAUGAGAUUAAGAAAGUUGCAACAUUAAUCUAGGUAGAUACAAUAGAUGAAAAAAUACAUUGUGAUGAGCAGAUCCUGGAAAUCUGUAAUUUUUAUCUGUUCCAGAUGGUUCUGAAGAUUAGUGAUGAAAAGAAAUGACUGGGCUCUUUCAGCUCAAAUAUUUUAUUUCAUGUAAGGCUCUGAUUGCUAUCACUGAUCUGUGGUUUCCUUCUAUAAUAGAGAUGGAUAUUAAAUAACUGACUACUCUUAAAAUGAAAUCAUCUUUUAUUUGAUAGUCAUAUAUGGUGGUCAUCCUGGAUUUCAAAAACCGCCUUAACAAACACACAGGAAGGAGGGCUAUCUCAAGCAGUCUAAUACCCAUUGCUCUUUACUAGGUGGAGCAUGUCCUCGUGAACUCACAGUUCUCUUUGUACUAGAGGGAGCCUGUAUAGACAUGCUGUCAGAUCAAGCCUCUAUGUUUCAAGCUAGUAGACAGAUAAACUUUGUGUUUAAUCCCUCAGUAGAAAGUGCAGUAUUCAAGGUUUUAUGAGGUGUUCUAUUAUAUCUUUCACCUGAAUUUAUUUAGCAUGUAUUGAUUAUUAUUUGUUUAGAACUACACACAAAAAACAAAAUCAUAAUCCAUUUGUUCCUAAAGCUGAAAAAAAGGAGAUAUAACAAAAGAAAAAAAGACUGUAUAUCAUUAUGAGAAAAAAAUGAGUAAAAUAAGCUAUACAGAUUUUUGAAGAAGGAAGAAAUCAGUGGUGGUUAGAACAAUCUAGAAAGUCUGUAUGAUGAUAGGAGAUAUGCUCUGAGUGAGUAGAAUUUGGUUAUGCUGGAGGCGAAAAACAAAAUACAGAUGUUGACCUUAAACAAGUACAGGCCAGUCUUUUAAUCAUUGACAUCCAAACCCCUGCAAAAAGUUCACCAGGUUCAUUACACACCAAAGCAUCUUUAUUCCAUUCCAUACAUUCCAGAUGUUGUAUUUUAAUUUUGUCCCUCAAUUUUCUAUAAGUUAUAUAGAAUCUAUAUAAUAUUUUAUAUAUAUAUAUAUGUAAGUCAUUUUCUUUCGACAUAAAUUCUUUGAUAAAAUAUUGUUUGGGUUUGGGAUUUUUGUUUUGUUUUGUUUUGCUUCUAUGAGCACUUUUAGAGUCUAAUGAAGUUUCACACGCUUAUUUUCCUAAUAACUCUCUGUAAUCAUAAUUCCCUCUUUAAAAAUAUGGAAAUGUAUAUAACAAGUUAUUUUUACUUUUUUCCUUGGCCUGCCCUAAAGUUCAGUCACGUUGGCAUUAUUAGAACAGAGCAAUUUCUCCAUGGGCACUGUUCCUUCUAGUUUUUAUCUUCAUUUCAAAAUAGCGGAAUCUGUUUUAUUAUAAGUUUGAAAGUAUGAGUUUUAGGUAAUUGCAUAUUCUCCUUAAAGAUCUACAAUUUUCAUUCUUUCUCUCAGAACAUCUGCUUGUCAAGAGGAUUUUUUAAAUUCCAUUAAUUCUACCUAGAUUAAUGUUUCAAAUGCUGUAAUGUCAGUUUGUCUUAAUAUAUAAUAUUAUUAUUUGUAUACAUAAUUUCACUUACACAUAAUCUGUACUUCUGGCAUUAGAUAAAUGUUAUGAAUUCAUACUUCUCUGUAUUACCAAACCAGUUAUUCUUUGAGUGUGUCCAUAACGUAAGGUUAUCAGUGGCACAUGGAAAUGUCUCAGAUAGGGUUGCCAGAUAAAAUACUGGAUGUGCACAUAAAUCUUAAUUUUACAUAAAAAAUUAAUGAAAUUUUGUGAAUUAUGCAGAUAUGAGUCAUACUUAAAAUAUAUUGGUUAUUUUUAAUUCAAAUUUAAUUGAAUCUUCUCUCUUUAUAUUUGCCACACUUGGUGACCCAACCGAUAAAUCAUUUCAUCAGGCUUCUCCAAAGUUACCUGUUUUGUGUUUUUCUUCCUUUACUUUUCCAUCACUUUCCUCCUUUUUCUCCUUUGCUUAGUCAACACAGACUUUUGUACAUACACUCCUGCUUCUAGUUUCUCAAAAGCCAUUCUCAUCUGGCAUAUGUAUGUAUAUAUGUCUGAAACUUUUCAUACCAUUCCCUUAUUGUCUGCUCUUAAAUCUUCCAUUGCUUUCUAUUUCUCUUGUGAUAAAGUCCAAAUUUCUCACCUUCACUUUCAGGCUCCUUCUUUACUGAUUGCAUGUUCCUCUUCAGUUUCAUUCUCAAUAAGUCUCAAAAUUAAUGUCACACUCCAAAUGCCUUGAGAAUUAACCAUGUAUAUUGUAUAUUUUCAUCACUUUUCCCAGGUUUCUUCUGUGUCUGCAAUAUCUUCUCUCUUCUCAUCUGAUUAGCCUGUCAACCUCUGGUACAAAUCUUAUCUCUUGGAUGCUUUCCUAUACUUUUUAAUAUCUUUUGCAGUUACCCUCCUACUGAACUUAUCUGUAACAAUUACUUAAACACAUGAUUAUAAUUUGUACUUUUUUUUUUUGAAACGGAGUCUCACUCUGUAGCGAGGCUAGAGGGCAGUGGUGCGAUCUCGGCUCACUGGAACCUCCGCCUCCCAGGUUUAAGCGAUUCUCCUGCCUCAGCCUCUUGAGUAGCUGGGACCACAGGUGUGUGCCACCACAUCCAGCUAAUUUUUGUAUUUUUAGUAGAGACGGGGUUUCACCAUGUUGGCCAGGAUGAUCUCAAUCUCUUGACCUUGUUAUCCACCUGCCUUGGCCUCCCAAAGUGCUGGGAUUACAGGCGUGAAACACCACGCCUUGUACUUUAUUUUUAAACAAUGUUACAUUCUUUUUGUCUCCGUCAUUAAAAUACUAUUGUUGUUGUUGUUUUUAAGAUCAAAGACUAUGCCACACCUUUUUUUGAGUGCUGGUCAAACAGCGGGUGUCUUAAUAUGGUUUGGCUGCUAUAACAAAAUACAGUUGACCAGAUGACUUAAUCUGUUUUUUUACAGUUCUGGGGGCUUUGAAGUCCAGGAUUUGGUUCCUAAUAAAAACCAUUUUCCUGGUUUGCAAAGGGCCAUCUUCUUGCUGUAUUCUCACUUGACAGAGAGAGAGAGAGAGGUCAUCUCUUUUGUUUCUCUUCUUAUAAGGGUACUAAUCUCAUUCAUGAGGGCUUGACUUUCAUGACUUAAUUACCUCCCAACCCUCCUCCCUCAAUGCCAUUACCUUGAGGAUUAGGGUUCCAAAGUAUAAAUUUUGAGAGGACACAUUUUGUCCACAGCAGCAGGCAUUCAAUAAGCAUGUCUUCAACUGAAUGGAAGAUGAUAAGGACCUCUUACUCUAAAGUGCAUUGAUUUCCAUUGAGAAGGAAAUGAUUGAAGUAGUUUGGGGAAAUAUGGACCCAAUCAUACAUCUGCUUUGAAUAUUUGCUGUGCUGGAUGAAGUUUCAAUUUGUUAACAAUCUUAGGGGAGUUUAAGAGGGAAACCAAGUCAUUAUGCUUUCAUCAUGUAGCUUGUACGGAAAAGAACCUAUGAUGCUCUGAGAGAUAGCAUUUUUGCUGAGUUCAUUUAAGUACUUAGAUAUCUAAAGGCAUAUUCUCCUUUUCAUGAUUGCUCAUCUUUGUACCAUGUCAAGUUUGAAUAUCUUGGAUAUGUUUUAUCAUGGCCAUUGAAAUAAGUCAUUGCAUUAUAUUUGGCACCAGAUCAGUAGAUGACAAAGUUUAUACUUGAUUGAAGGCAUGACAUUAGGAAAGUGGACAUUUCAGGAAUCAUUCUGAACUUAGUAUGAUGACAAAUAAUAAGACACAGACACCUUUGAUCUACUGACGGGGCCCAGACAUGGCCUGGUAUCGUUGGCUAGUACUAUAUCUCUAGAGUUUAUAUAAAUCAAUUUACAGGAACAUUAUUUAUUUUUUUCUCUAAGACUAUUUGCUAGAAUGAGGUCAGAAAGAAAGAUUAAUAUGACACCUAAUACUGCAGCAAGAAGAAAACCAUUUUACAAUUAGGGUCAAAUCUUAAAGAGGCAGGUGUUUUUGCUUUGCCAGAAAAUAUUGAAUUUACAACUUCUCAUUAAUAAUCCUGAUCGAUCCUAUUUAAGAGACCCAGCAGCAGUGCAGCAAAGUGACACAAGAAGAGGCCUUGAGUGUUUGAAGUCCUGGGUUGACAGUUCCCUUCAGAAACUUCAGUUUUGUCAUCUGAGAAUUAGAAAAUGCCAUGGAGUUGUAUAGGAAUUAAAACUGAAAGUAGGUGAGUAGUGGUGUUUCUCUAAUAGGAGCUCCUUAAUGAGCGGGUGUGUCUGACUCCACACCUUCCCUUGCCUAAGGAACCAAAGUUUAGGUCUAUGUAGGAACUUGUACAGUACUUUUAUAUUUUAAUGUUCUUUCAAGUGUUUUGCUCAUGUUCUUUUUUAAAAAAUCUGCAUAUAUAGGCAGAGCUUAUAUUAUUCUCCCUAUAUUUUUUCAGAAAAAGCAACUGAGUCAUAGAAUAAUUGUGUGAUACCAUGGAAAGAUGACUAAAUGGGAAUCAGGGAAGUUUGAUGAAAUUUCCAACUUAGCCACUAACUAUGCUAUGACCUUGAGCACUCUAGUACUCUUAUAUUUAAAGUAAAAAUGUUGAACUAGAAGUUCACUGUGUUUUCACAUAACUCUGAAAGCCUGUAAUGCAGCUUAGUCAGAGGCAAAAUUAUAAACAGAAUUUGGGUUUUUCUGGAUGUUAAGUGGUAUAGCUUUUCUUGCUUGAUCAUAUUGCUUCUUUUGCAGUUAUUUGCAGCAUUGAUCUUUACAUGAAGAAAUCUAAAUUUCUUUGCCCUUUAAAAUCCAAUUUAAUUUAAAAUUUAAAUAUAUGUGUCUUAGAGUAAAUGUUGCUCAACCACCAAUGAUUUGUUGUAACUGCAUGGGGGACACACAUAAAUCAAAAAUGCAUUUAGAGCCCUGUCCAAAUUAUAAAUUCAAUAACUUGGUUCAAAUUAUAAAUCAAAUGACUAGUGUGCAACUGUCAAUCAAUCAAAAUAGAUUAAUAACCUCAACUGAAGUGAUUUGAUGAACUAUAGACGUUAUGGAAACUGCAAGAUUUCAGCUCUAAUUUGAAGUGCUUUUUACAGUGUUGGCAGAAUGCUUCUACCCACUGGAAAAUAGGAAUAGGGAAAUUUAUAGAACACAUUCCACGGGCUUUACUCUGGCAGUUUUUUUGGUCUCACAACUGCCCUCUUCAGAAUGUAGUCUUAUCGCCAUUAUCAUCUUACAGAUGAGGGACUGAAGAUCAGAGAGGUGAAGUAGCUUGCCUCAUGUCACAUGCUGAUAGAAUACAGAACAGGGGUCAAACCACCUGGGGAGUCUUUCUCCAGAUACUGAUCUUAUAACAGCUACAUUAGACUGUUUCUUAUACAGUUCCCAGCAGAGAAGGGUGACUCGUCAAUAAAAUUUCAUAGUUAAAUUAUCUUCAGUUGCAAACCACAUCUAAUGGUUGUAGAAUAUAAAGAUUCUGAGAAAUCUAAGGCAUGUCGUUUUCACCUUUUUUUUUAAAUAAUAAAAAGGCGCCUUGAAUGAUUCUUCCUUAAAUGAAUUAUUUUAGCUUAUCAGGGCUUUUCAUUCCACUUGUGUGUUUUUCGUCACUUAAUAAAACUACAAGCUUGCUAAAGUUAGCAGAAUUAGAAGCUUUGAUUUUUUGUUUAAUUUUUAUAAUGAGCUGCCUGAACCACUUAUCCUCUACCUGCAGCUUCUUCCUUCUAUAGAUGCAAGAAAUGCCUGGCCAUGCUAUGGGAUUUUGUGAGGGUUAUAAACAAAGGAUUUCAUGCCAAUAACUCGGUUUUGUUUCCCAUAGAUAACAUACGAGGUUUUAGUAAUUGGAUUUUAUAAAUUCAUUUCAGAUGGGUACCUACUGCAAGAUAGCUUCUGUGCUAGCUAUCUUCACAGGCAUUAUCUGAUCUAAGUUUGAAAACAACACUGAGGAGGUGGUUCUUAUUAGCAUCAAGACUUCUUAAGUCAUGAGCUCUAUGGAGUUUCUUGGGAAAUGUAAUGAACACGAAUGGCCUGUCUUACAAAAAUUUAGAUGACUCUAUUGACCUGAUAUUCCAACUUCUGAGAGUAGAAAAGGUAGAACCUCAAACUCUUACUUCCCAAAGGAAGUAUGGUUUCACAAAAACUUACAAAAGUUAAGCCUCUCCACAUUGCAGUAACUUUCAGCAUUCUCCGUAAUUCUCCGGCCUGUCAGGAUUCUAAGGAUCCUAAUAACCGCAAGAGGAUAGGCUGUGUGCACUGGAGAGAUAAGAGAAUGAGCUUGAAGCUUUUGCCUCACACAGUACCCCCUACAUUACAUUUAGCAGUAUGAGUGCUUUUAUCGUUGUUUGAUAGUAGUAGUAGCAGCAGCUGCAGGAACAGCAGCAUCAGCAGUAGUACUACUAAAUCCUUGGGAUAUGUAUUUCUAGCCAAUAAGCCAUGAACCCUUCAAGGUAGCCUGCACCCCUGAGCUCAGGCUCAUCUGCAGCCAACACUAACCACAGGCAAAAUCAAGUAGCUACUGCUUGACAAAUAGAGGAAGUUUAUCCCUGGUACAACAAGAGACCAUGAAACAUGAUGAAAGUAAAGAGAAUAUUGGUUAUUAUUAAUAGUAAAGAUUCAUAGAUGCCUUUACCUGUGGAAGACCUUCCCCAACUCCCUACUGAAGGUCAUUACUGUUCUUAAUUUAAUGCUAAUAAUUUCCUUGAUUUUAAAAGUUUUUUUUAGUUUUUUUGUUUGUUUGUUUUAAUUGUGGCAAAUUGAAAAUAGCAUUAAAUUUACCAUCUAAACUAUUUUUAAGUAUACAAUUCAGUAAUGUUAUGGACAUUCAGAUUGUUGUGCAACCAAACUCCAAAACUCUUCUUGUCAUGCAAAGCAAAUUCUUUACGCAGUUUCCCCUCUCCUCAGCCCCUGGUAACUACCAUUUAAUUUUUUGUUUUUUAUAAAUUUGAUUACUCUAACACCUCAUAUAAAUAGAAUUAUACAGUAUUUUUGUUUUUAAGACUGGCUUAUUUCACUUAGUAUAGGAUUUUCAAGGUUUAUAUCCAUGUUAUACUACAGAUCAAAAUGUUCUUCCUUUUUAAAGCUGAAUCAUAUUCUAUUUCAUGAAUAUACCCGAUUUUGUUUACCCAUUCAUCUAUCAAUGAAAACUUGGGUUGCUUCUACAUUUUGGCUAUUAUGAAUAAUGUCUCUGUGAACAUAGGUAAUAGAUAAUACCUUCCUUGAAUUUAUUUUUAAUUUUAUUGUGAACAAAAAUAUUUCUAUACAGUGUAUGAUUUACUUUAACUUGUUAUUGCAGAAAAUUAUAUUCCGAGUUGCAUCCAUGCUUGCCAAGAAAACCUUAUUUUCGUUGUUAACUCGAAUUGCAUUAUAUAAUGCCAUCUAUUCUACUGAUGAUGCACAUUGGAUUAUUUCAUUUAUUUUCUUGCUAAUAUGAACAUGCUAAUUUGAAAAUUCUUCUACUGCAUCCUAAUGUGUCUUCAACAGACUUGCUACUCAACAGUGACUAAAGUAUUAGAAACAUCAGCAUCACUUGCUACUCAACAGUGACUAAAAUAUUAGAAACAUCAGCAUCACUUUGAGUUUAUUUAAAAUUCAGAAUACCAGGCCUCAUCUGACCUCCAAAUCAGAAUAUUUAAUUUGUCAAGAACCCAGUGGAAUUUGUAGGCAUAUUAAGGUUUGAGAAACGCUUCUGUAGAGCUGUCCUAUCCUAUGAGGUAGCCACUAGAAAUGUAUUCUAUUGAGCUCUGAAAUUGUGGCUAUUCUGUAUUGCAGUACGCUGUAAGUAUAAAUUACAUAAUAGAUUUCAAUGACAAUAUAAAAAUGUAAAUUAUCUCAAUUUUUACAUAGCAUAUCAAUAUGGUAAUCUUUUAUAAAUAUUGGGUUAAAGUGUUUAAUUAAAUUAAUUUUAUCAGUUUAUUUUUCCUUUCAUAAUAUUAUUGCCAGAAAAUUUUUAAUUAUAUAUAAGGCUUAGGUUAAAAUUCUGUAAUACAGAGCUGCUCACAAAUAGCAGGGGUAUUCCUGUGCUAUAACUUAGGAAUAUCUUUUAUCUAGUCUGGCUCCACUCAACAUAAUUUGAACUUCAUUAUUAUUUUAUUUAGUAAUGUGUUUAGAGUUUCCACGUUUUCCAUUUUAUCGCUUACCAUAUGAUUUUUAAAAAUUUUGUGGCUACAUAGUAGGUAUAUAUAUUCAUGAGGUAUAUGAGAUGUUUUGAUACAAGCAUGCAAAGUGAAAUAAGCACAUCAUGGCGAAUGGGAUAUGCAUCCCCUGAAGCAUUUAUCCUUUGAGGUACAAACAACCCAAUUACCACUCUAAGUUAUUUAAAAAUGUACAAUUAAGUUAUUAUUGACUAUACACACCCAUAUGUGCUAUUAAAUAGUAGGUCUUAUUCAUUCUUUAUAACUAUUUUUUUGUACCCAUUAACCAUCUUCACCUCCACACCCAGCUCCACUAUCCUUCCUAGCUUCUGGUAACCAUCCUUCUGCUCUCUAUGUUCAUUAGUUCAAUUGUUUUGAUGUUUAGAUCCCACAAAUAAGGGAAGCAUGUGUGUUGUUUUCUAUGCCUGUCUUAUUUCACUUAUUUCACAACAACAUCAUAAUCCAGUUCUAUCCUUGAAAAUGACUGAAUCUCUCUUUUUUAUGACUCAGUAGUACUCCAUUGUACAUAUGUCCCACAUUUUCUUUAUCCAUUUAUCUGUUGAUGGGCACUUACUUUGCUUCCAAAUCUUAGCUAUUGUAAACAGUGCUGCAACAAACAUAGACAUGCAGAUAUCUCUUUAACAUAUGCAUUUCCUUUAUUUGGGGUAUAUACCCAGCAAUGGGAUUACUGGAUCAUAUGGUAGCUCUGUUUUUAGUUUUUUGAGGACCCUCCAAACUUUUCUCCACAGUGGUUGGACUAAUUUACAUUCCUACCAACCACGUACAAAGGUUCUCUUUUCUCCACAUUAUCACUAGCAUUUGUUAUUGCCUGUCUUUUGGAUAUAGGUCAUUUUUACUAAGGUGAGAUGAUAUCUCCUGGUAGUUUUGAUUUGCACUUCUCUGAUGAUAAAUGAUGAUGAGCACCAUUUCAUGUGUCUGUUUGCCAUUUGUAUGUCUUCUUUUGAGAAAUGGCUAUGCAGACUUUUGCCCAUUUUUUGAUCAGAUUAUUAGAUUUUUAUCCUAGAGGUUUGUUUGAGCUCCUUACAUAUUUCUGUUUAUUACUUCUUGUCAAGUGGGUAGUUUGCAAAUAUUUUCUCCCAUUCUGUGGAUUAUCUCUUUGCUUUGUUGAUUGUAUCCUUUGCUGUGCAGAAGCUUUUUAAUUUGAUGUGAUCCCAUUUUUCCAGUUUUGCUUUGGUUGCCUGGGCUUGUGGAGUGCUGUUCAAGAAAUUUUUGACCACACCAAUGUCCUGGAGAUUUCCUCAGUGUUUUCUUGUAGUGCUUUCAUAAUUUGAGGUCUUAGAUUUAUUCAUUACUUCAGAAUCCGUUUUGAUUUGAUUUUUGUAUAUGGUGACAGACAGGGGUCUAGCUUCAUUCUUCUUCAUAUGGAUAUGCAGUUUUCCUAGCACUGCUUAUUGAAGAGACUAUGUUUUCUCCAGUGUGUGUUCUUGCCACCUUUGUUAAAAGUUCACUGUAGAUGUGGAUUUGUUUUUGGGUUCUCUAUUCUGUUCAAUUGGUCUAUGUGUCUCUUUUUAUGCCACCACCAUGCUGUUUUGGUUACUAUAGCUCUGUAGUGUAAUUUGAAGUCAGAUAAUUUGAUUAAUCCAGUUUUGUUCUUUUUGCUUGGGAUAGGUUUGGCUAUUCUGGGUCUUUUGUGGUUUCAUGUAAAUUGUAGGGAUUUUUUUCUGUUUCUCUGAAGAAUGUCAUUGAUAUUUACACAGUGAUUAUAUUGAAUCUGUAGAUUGUUUUGGCAUGGAAUAUCCUUCCUUGUAUGUGUGUGUGUAUGUGUUUAUGUGUGUGUCCUCUACAGUUUCUUUCAUCAGUGUUUUGUAGUUUUCAUUAUAGGGAUCUCUCACUUAUUUGGUUAAUUCCCAGGUAUUUAAUUUUAUCAGUGGCUAUUGUAAAUGGGUUUACCUUUUAUUUCCUUUUCAGAUUGUUCACUGUUGGCAUAUGGAAGUGCUACUGAUUUUUGUAUGCUGAUCUUGUAUCCUGAAAAUUUACUGAAUUUUUAAAUCAGUUCUAAUCGUUUAUUAGUGGAGUCUUUAGGCUUUUCCAAAUAUUAAAUUAUAUCAUCUGCAUACAGGGGUAAUUUGACUUCUUCCUUUCCAAUUUGGAUAUCCUUUAUAUUUUCUCUUGUGUGCUUUAUCUUGUGUGCUUGCUAAAACUUCCAGUAUGUUGAAUAGCACUGGUGACAGUGGGCAUCCUUUUCAUGUUCCAGAUCUCAGAAGAAAGUCUUUCAUCUUUUCCCCAUUAGGUAUUAUACAAGCUGUGGGUUCAUCAUAUAUGGUUUUUAUUGUGUUGAGGUGUGUUUCUUCUAUCCCCAGUUUUUUCAGGGUUUUUAUCAUGAUGGAAUGUUGAAUUUCAUCAAAUACUUUUUCAGCAUCAAUUGAAAUAAUCUUAUGCUUUUUAUCUUUCAUUCUGUUGAUAUGAUGUAUCACAUUAAUUGAUUUGAAAAUGGUGUACCACAUUAAUUGAUUUGCAUAUGUUAGGCUAUCCUUGCAUCCCAGGGAUAAAUCCCACUUGUCCAUAAUGAAUGAUCUCUCUAAUGUAUUGUUGAAUUCUAUUUGCUAGUAUUUUGUGAGGAUUUUUGCAUCUACCUUCAACAGAGUUUUUGGCCUAUAGUUUUAUUUAUUUAUUUAAUUACUUAUUUUUUUUUUGACAUGUCUUUGGUUUAGGUGUCAGGUUAAUACUGGCCUUGUAGAAUGAGUUUGGAAGUAUACCCUACUCCUCUAUUUUUCUUUUAAUAGCUUCAGUAGGAUUGAUAUUAGUUCUUCUUUUAUGUUUGGUAUAACUCAGCAGUGAAGCCAUCAGGUCUUAGGAUUUUCUUUACUGGGAGAUAUUUUAUUACGGCUUCUAUCUCAUUUCUUGUUAUUGGUUUGUUCAGGCUUUGGAUUUCUUCCUGGUUCAAUCUUGGUAGGUUGUAUGUGGCUAGGACUUUUUCCAUUUCUUCUAGAUUAUCCAAUUUAUUGGCAUAUACUGGCUCUUGUUAGCUGCUAAUGAGCCUUUAAAUAUCUGUAGUAUCAGCGGUAAUGUCUUCUUUAUUAUUUCUAAUUUUAUUCAUUUGGAUCUUCUCUCCUUUUUUUUUUUUAGUCUUGCUAAUGGAUUGUCAAUUUUGUUUAACUUUUCAAAAAGACAACUUUUUAUUUCAUCAAUCUUUUGUAUCUUUUUAUUUCAUUUUUCUGUUCUGAUUUUAUUUUAUUUUUUCUAGUAACUGUGGGUACAGUUUGCAUUUGCUCUUAUAGUUCUUUAAGAUUCAUUAUUAGAUUGUUCAUUAGAAGUUUUUCCUCUUACUUGAUGUAGGCACUUUUAGCAAUAAAAUUCCCUCUUAGUGCUGCUUUUGUUGUAUUCCAUAGGAUUUGGUAUCUUGUAUUUCCAAUAUGAUAUGUUUCAAAGAAUUUUUCAAUUUCCUUAUCAGUUUCUUCGGGGACUGACUGGUCAUUCAGAAGCAUAUUGUUGAAUUUCCAUGCUUUUGUAUAAUUUCCAAAAUUCCUCUUGUUAAAUUUCUGUUUUUAUUUCAUUGUGAUCAGAGAAGAUGCUUGAUAUUUCAAUUUUUUGAAUGUUUUAAGACUUGUUUUGUGAUCUAAAUUAUAGUCUAUCCUUGAGAAUAAUCCAUGUGCUAAGGAUAGGAGAAUAAUGUUUAUUCUGCAUCCAAUUGAUGAAAUGGUCUGUAAGUACUUAUUAGAUUCAUUUGGUCUAUAGUGCAGAUUAAGUCUGAUUUUUUUUGUUGAUCUUCUAUCUGGAAAAUUUGUCCAAUGCUGUAAAUGGGUCAUGAAGUCUCCAAUUGUUAUUGCAUUGGGGCCUAUCUCUCUCUUACGCUCUAAUGAUAUUUACUUUAUAUAUCUGGAUACUUCAGUGUUCAGUGCAGAUAUAUUUAAAAUUGUUAUAUCCUCUCACUGAAUUGACCCCUUUACCUUUAUAUAGUAACAUUUUUUCUCUCCUUAUAGUUUUUGUCUUGAAAUCUAUUUCGUCUAAUAUAAGUAUAGCUACUCCUGCUUUUUUUCAGUUUCCAUUCACAUGGAAUAUCUUUUUUCAUUUAAAAAAAAUUUCACUGUGUGAGUCUUUACAGAUUAAGUGUGUUUCUUGUAAGCACCGGAUCAAUGGGUCUUGUUUUUUCAUCCAUUUAUCUAGUCUAAGUCUUUUGAUUGGAGAGUUUAGUUCAUUUACAUUCAAUGUUAUUAUUGAUAAGUAAGAACUUCUGCUAUUUUGUUAUUUGUUUUAUGGUUUUCUCUUUCUUCUUUCCUUCCUGUAUUUUUCUAUGAAGUUAAUUUUUUCCAGUGAUAUGAUUAAGUUUCUUGCUUUUUAUUUUUGUGCAUCCAUUGUAUGUUUUUUGGUUUGAGGUUAUAAUGAGGCUUGCAAAUACUAUCUUAUAACCCAUUAUUUUAACCUGACAACAACUUAACACUAUUUGCAUAAACAGGAAAACAAAUAAGGAAAAGGAAACGUAAUAAAAACUCUACAUCUUAACUUUGUCCACCCACUUUUUAACUUUUUGUUGUUUCUAUUUUUAUCUUAUUGUACUAUGUCUUAAAAAGUUGUUGUAGUUAUUGUUUUUGAUCGGUUCGUAGUUUAGUAUUUCUACUUAUGAUAAGGGUAGUUUACAUACCACAGUUACAAUGAUAUUAUAUUCUGUAUUUUUCUGUGUACUUACUAUGUACCUUCAGGUGAUUAUUUAUUGCUCAUUAAUGUUCUUUUCUUUCUGAUUGAAACACUCCCUUUAGCAUUUCUUUAGGAAAGGUCUGGUAUUGAUGAACUACCUCAACUUUUGUUUGUCUCACAAAGUCUUUAUUUCACCUUUAUGUUUGGUGGAUAUUUUUGCCAGAUGUACUCUUCUAGGGUAAAAGUUUUUUCUUUCAGCGUUUUAUAUAUGUCAUGCCACUCUCUGCUGCAUUGUAAGUUUCCCAGUGAAAAGUCUGCUUCCAGGCAUAUUGAUGCUCCAUUUUAUGUUAUUUGUUUCUUUUCUCUUACUGCUUGUAGGAUCUUUCCUUAUCCUUAACCUUUGAGAGUAUGAAUAUUAAAUGCCUCCAGGCAAUUUUCUUUGGGUGAAAUCUGUGUUCUAUUCCCUUCUUGUACUUGAAUAUUAAUAUCUUUCCCUAGGUUUGGGAAGUUUUGAAUAAACUGUCUACCCAUAUUUCCUUCUCAACUUCCUGAUUAAGGCCAAUAACUCUUAGAUUUGCAAUUUUGAGGCUAUUUCCUAGAUCCUGUAGGCAUGCUUCAUUAUUUUGUAUUCCUUUGUCUUUUGUCUCCUCUGACUGUGUUUUCAAAUAGCCUGUCUCUAAGCUGACUAAUUCUUCUGCUUGGUCAGUUCUGCUAUUAAAGGACUCUGAUGCAUUCUCCAGGACACCAAUUUCAUUUUUCAGCUCCAGAAUUUCUGCUUGAUUCUUUUAAAUUAUAUCAAUCUCUUUGUUAAAUUUAUCUGACAAAGUUCUGAAUUUCUUCUUUGUGUUUUCUUAAAAUUUUUGUGCUUUUCUAACACAGCUAUAUUAAAUUCUCUGUCAAAAGGUCUUAUAAUAUCUGUUUCUCCAGGAUUGGUCCCUGAUGUUUUAUUUAGUUUAUUUGAUGAGGUCAUAUUUUCCUGGAUGGUGUUGAUGUUAGUAGAUCUUUGAUGUGUGGACAUUGAAGAGUUAGGUAAUUAUUGCAGUCUUCACUGUCUGGGCUUAUUUGUAGCCAUCAUUCUUGGGAAAGCUUUCCAGAACUUGGUUUUUGUGAUUUAACCUGUAUUCACUUUUGGGGCCACCCAAGCCUAGUAAUAUUGUGGUUCUUGCAGAUUCAUGCAGGUACCAUCUUCAUGGUCUUGGACAAGAUCUAGGGGAAUUAUCUGGAUUACCAUACAGAGAUUUUUUUUCUAUUCCCUUACAUUCUCCCAAACAUACAGAGGCCUUCUUUUGCUGUUUCAGCCACCUAAAACUGGGGGCAGAGUGACAUAAACACCCCUGUGUCCACCACCAAUAUGGCUGUCCUGGGUCAGACCCGAAGCCAGCACAGCACUGGGUCUCACCUAGAGCCUGCUGUAAUGACUCCCUGGCUACUGUCUAUGUUUGCUCAAGGUUCUACAGCUCUACUAUCAGCAGGUGGCAAAGCCAGCCAGACCCUGUCUUUCCCUUCAGGAUGGCAAGCUCCCCCAGGCCAAGGGUGGGUCUAGAAAAGCUGUCUGGAAGUCGGGAACUGCAGUCAGAAACCUUAGUCUACCUUGUGUUCUAUCGUAUUGUGGCUGAGCUGGCAUUCAAACCACAAGAUGCAGUCCUUCCCAUUCUUUUCUCCCCUUUCCAAAGGCAGAGGAGCCUCACCCCAUAGCCACUGCCACCCUAGGCCACGAGGAGUACUGCAAGACUACUGCUGAUACUCCCUUAAGGCCCAAGGUCUUUUAAGUCAGCUUGUUGUGAAUACUGCCUGGCCUAGGACUCACCCUUCAGGGCAGGGGGCUUCUCUGUGGCCCAGGGCAGGUCCAGAAAUGCCAUCCAAGAGUCAAGUUCUUUAACUGGGGACCCUAAUGGCCUCCUUAGUGCUCCAAUCCCCUGUGACUGUGCUGAUACCUGAACUCAGUUGUAGAGGCUCACCCAAGGCCCGCAAUGUAGUACCUGGGUAUUGCUGCUGGUUAUUUAGGGUUGAAGGGCUCUUCGGUUAGCAGAUGAUAAAUGCUUCCCAGAGUAUGUCCUUUCCUUCAAAGUAGUGGGUUCCCCUCUGGCCAAGGAUGUGUCUAGAAAUGUCAUCCAGGAGCUUGGGCCUGGGACAGGGGCCUCACGACUCUGACCAGUGUCCUAUCCUACUGUAGUUGAGCUGGUAUCCUAGAUGCAAAACCAAGUCCUCUGCACUCUUCCCUCUCCUCUCAAGUGGAAGGAAUGGGUCUCCUUUUGAGCAACAAGCUGUGCAUCCUGAGUUUAGGGGAGGGGUGAUGUCAGCACUGCCUUGGCUCCUCUAGCUGGUGUCUCAGUCCACUGAGUCCACUGUCUCUGGAGCUAGUUCAGCACUAAGACUUGAGUGAGAAUUGCAGUCCUUAUGGCCUAGACUGCCUUUCAAGUUUACUUGGAAAUACAGAAGCUACAGCCUUCAGUGGUGAGUUCAAUUUUAGACCACUAGGAUCAAUAAUUUCCCUCUGACUAGGGCUGGCUAGGGCUGGUUUAAAUGCUCCCUCCACAGCUAGUGCAUCAGCUCAGUUUGGCCCAACUUUCCUUUCUGCUCUAACAGGGCAACACUUAGCUAAAUGCUUCACAAUUGGCUCUCCCUCCCGCAGCACCCAGAAAAGCUGUCUAUGUCAGGCAUCCCACCAUGCGCAUGUGUGCUUGGGGAGGGGGAUGGGCGUCGGUGAUUCAGAAGUGUUUUUUUCUAUCUUUUCAGUGAUAUGAAGUUAAAACCAGGUACUAUGAGUGCUCACUUGAUUGUUGGUUUUUAUAAAGGUGUUUUUUUUCUGUGUAGAUAGUUGUUAAAUUGGUGUCCUUGCAGACAGGACAAUCAGUGCAGCUUUCUAUGCCACUGUCUUUCUCUGCCUCCUCCAAUAUCUUGCUGCUCACCAUUUCUUCUUGUAUUUCCAAUUCUUCAUCUAAGAUCACUUUUCUUAUGUAGUCUAUUCUUUGUAAUUUUAUCUAAUUAAUAAUCAAUUAAUGGUAAACUCCAUUUUUGUUUUUCUGAACAUGUCUGUUUUAAUCUAAUUCUUGAUAAAUAAUUUUAAUACAUAUAAAAUUCUAGGUUGACUUUCAUUAUCUUUCUAGUUUUUGAGGAUAUUAAUCCUUUACCUGGUGACUUCCAUUCUUGCUAAAAGCUCAGGUUUUUGUUAAAUUAAAUUGGUAGUAAGAUAACUUGAUUUUAAUUGAAUUUUUUUAAAACAUACACAUUUAUUGUCCUGUAUUGCACAAUAAUAAAUUCUCAUUUUAUAUCCCUUAUAUUUUUCCUCAGCCUGAGACUUUGGAUCUAGUCUGUUCUUCCUUGCAUAGUUAUCUUCUCUUUAUAAAUGUAAAUCAUAGCUCUCUCCAGUGCCUUCCCACUCUAUACCCAACUUGUUACCUCAGCCACCAUACCAAAAAUAUGAUCUAUGUCCAUAGAAUUUCCAAGUCUCCAGGUUCUAGACUUAAGUCCUUGUUCAUUUUGCCACUGACAUAAUUUCAUUUAUUCCUCCUCUUCUUUCUCCUCCUCUUGUUCUUCAUCUUCCUCUUCUUCUAAAAUUUAAGCAUUAAUUUAAGUAUGAAAAUUCCAAUAAUUUUAACUGUGUAGUUUGAUGAAUUUGUGUCUAUGUAAAUAUUUUAUAUAUAUAUAUGUAUACAUGUAAUAUACGUAUACUAUAUGCACAUACUAUGUGUAUGAAUACAAAUACACACAUACAGAUAUACACAUAGAUAACUACUACCUAUAUCAGAAAAUUUAGAACAUUUAUAACAUUCUAGCAGGCUCCCUUUUCCCGCAUAUAGUUGAUAUGCCACAAAGACAAAUUUUAUUCUCACCUUUAGUAAGACAGAUUUAUUCUGCUUGGUUUUGAAUAUUUUUUAAUGGAAUGAUACUAUAUGCACUCUUUAUAUCUGAUGUCCUUCAACAUUUUAUAAGAUUCAUCCAUUGUUUUAUAUAGUAGGGAUACAUUCAUUUUAAUUUAUAUGUACUAUUCUCUUGUGUGAAUAUUCCAGAAUUUAUUCAUCAGUUAUUCUCUUGGUAAACAUUUGCAUUAUUUCCAUUUUUUUGCUGUUAUGAAUAAGGCUGCUGUGAACAUCUUGUGCAUGCUUUUGAUGGGCAUACACAUUCAUUUUGUGGAGUUAUAUAGAUAGGCAAAAAAGUAAUUCCUGGGUCACAGAAUAUAUGCAUGUUUAGCUUUGAAAGAUGUUGAGAAACAAGUUUUGUUUUCAAGCAAUUGUAUUAAUCUUAAUACCAGUUGUUCUACAUCCUUGCCAAUGCUUAGUAUUUUUAGCUAUUUUACUGUAGCCAUCCUGUUGCUGAGCCCUAUUUUUAACUUUUGUUGAGGCCGUAUGUCUGUUUCCAAACUGUGAACAAUCAACAGGUAGUAGGUAGAACUUAGAUCCUGGAUCAUUGAGUUAUACUUUAUCAGUCACAAUAAUGUAAGUCAAAAAAUAGGGAUGGAAAAACAUCCAGAAUGGCUCUCUUGUGCUCUCUCUUGCUCUCUGUCUCUGUCUGUCCGUCUGUCUGUCUGUCUUUCUCUCUCUCUCUCUCUCUAUAUAUAUAUAUAAUAUAUAUAUACACACACACAAUCCCCUUUGUAAUAUAUAUAUUUAUUUAAUUAUAUAUUGCUAUA